rnacentral:lncRNA from 1 species
GUCUGUCGAUCCGUGGUGCACAUUCACAAGAUCAUCCUUUGGUCUGUGGAUUCGUCGCGCGCUGCGCAUUGACAGGGUCUCGGGACUUUGCUUUGUUGCUUGAACUGAUCAUCUGGCGUGUUCUUUUGCCAGUGUACUGUACUAGCUAUAUACAAGGUGCACAGUUAUAUGUUUGUGUGGUUUCUGUGACAUUUGACUAUUGAAUUAAUGCACUCUACCUAUGUCGUGAAUCGUGAGUCAAUUACUCGAAGCUGACUAUCAUGUUAAGCCUAUGGUUUCAGUUCCUAUUUUGAGCUGUUUCAUUGUGACGACGACAGCUCUUUGUUUUCAGCGGGAGUGAAAUGAUCACCUUGCAGCUCUUUGUGCUUAUAGCUAUGGUUAGAUGAACCAAGCGGCUCUGUGAAUUAACCUCUGUUUCCUCUCUUUUCUAACUAUUGCACCCUAUAUGAUGGAUUGAAGACGCAUCUCUGUGUCACUUCUGUUUUAGCAGAAUCUGUAUCAUCUUGUGUAGAUGCAACAGGAGCAUUGCGGCGACUCAGGGGCUGAGCUAGUGUGAGAUAUGCAGGGUGAUAGUUGAUUCCUGGCGACACUCCUUGCUUGAGUGCAAUCUAUGCGAGAAGCUCUGAUUGCUGAAACAACGCCGGUGGCAAAGGCUUGGCUGUUCGGCUUGAGUGAGGAACUGCAGCAUGAUGAGUUCGUCAAAGCGGUUGUAACACCAUUGCCAGCAGUCUGGCAUACUCGGCGUCGACCGAUUCAUGAAGCUGAAUUUCAAUCUAUGCUGUUGGCCCAUGCUUAAGUUGACAGGAAGGAGAGGACCAAGAUUCCUCCAUCAGGCCGUGUAAAAUUCUGUAGCUCUCUUUUUUGAAGGGAGUGGGAGAUAUGUAUGGCCGUGGAUAUUCGGCUUGAGUGAGGAACUACGGUAAGAUGAGUUCGUCAGAGCGGCUGUAACGCUGUGGGCAGUCUGGUUGUGCCUCUCUUUGUGAACGUAUGUUUGGCAUGAAGCAUGAUGAAUCCGUCAAGUAUGGCUUUCGGAUCCUCCAGAUCCUUUGUGUAUCCCUAUGAACAUCAUUAGGCAAUGAAGCUCUAAUGUAAUUCUGAAAAAAAAAGUGCAGUAGUGAUGCCUCUCUGCACAUGGUAAUUCACGGUCCUGGCUAGAUUAGCUUAGGGCAUUUCCAACCGAUCCCUAAUAAAUAGUGGAGGAUCUGGCCGAGUAAACCCCGGUGGAGUAUAUUUACUCCACUAGCAUGUGAUAGUUCAACUAGGACUCGCUAAGACGUUGCCAGUGAUGCUCAAUAAGAUCUUGUUGGAGUUGAGCAUGAACUUGUUGGUUCUCGAACUUGCGAUGCUCCUCAAGGAAUGCCAGGAUCCUGUUCAUAUCAUACUCUGGCUCAACCUGAGUCCCGUUGGUGACGUACUGAAAGUUCUCAGGCAUAUCCCUCUCAUCUUCAAUGAUCAUGUUAUGCAAUAUGAUGCAACAAGUCAUGAUCUGCCAUAGAACCUUGGAGCUCCAGUACUUGGCAGGGCCACGAACAAUUGCAAAGCGCUUCUGAAGCACACCGAAGGCUCUUUCCACAUCUUUCCUAGCAGCUUCUUGACAUUGGGCAAAGUGAAUGCUUUUGUUACCUUUUGGGCGCGGAAUUGUUUUGACCAAGGCGGCCCAUGUUGGAUAGAUGCCAUCCGCAAGGUAGUAACCCAUUGAGUAGUUGUGGCCGUUGACCGAGUAGUUGCAAGCAGGAGCAUCUCCUGUAAUAAGCGUAGAAAACAGUGGCGAUCUCGAUAGCACAUUCAAGUCAUUGUGAGAGCCAAGAAAACCAAAGAAUGAAUGCCAUAUCCAAAGAUCAUUCAUUGCAACUGCCUGAACAAUGAUCAUUGGUUCAUUGCAGUGGCCUUUGUACUAACCCUUUCACCCCGCAGGACAAUUCUUCCAUGUCCAAUGCAUACAGUCAAGUGAUCCAAGCAUCCUUGGCCAUCCUCUUGUUUCACUCUCUGUCAUCAGCCUCUGGGUGUCUUUGUCGCAUUUCGGGUUUCGUAGACCCUAGAGAGGUUCGAACUCUGGGGUGCGCACGAAUAACACUCUCUCCCCCGCGCGCCCGCUCAACGAUCCACGGCCUAGCUCAACGAACUCAAAGAACAAUGGACACGGGGGUUUAUACUGGUUCGGGCCACCGUGUGGUGUAAUACCCUACUCCAGUGUGUGGUGGUGGAUUGCCUCUUGAGGGCUGAGGAUGAACUAGUAAAGUGGAUGAACAGCCUCAGGAGGAGAGGCGUUCUUGGGCUCGAUGAGCUGGAGAGGGUUCGGAUGGAAUGGAUCCAGUCCAAGGUUAGAUAUCCCCCUCCAUCUGUCUAUUUGUUCCCCUCUAUGGUGGUGGCUAGUGCUAUUUAUAGAGGCCCUGGUCCUCUUCCCAAAUGUAGGCGGGAAGGGAUCCCACAACGACCAGAUUUGAAGGGGGACAACUAGUACAAGCUAUCCUGACAAAAGUAGUCUUCGCAUGCCAAAGGCUCUGGUGGUGGCGCUGGACGGGGCUCCACGAUGACCUCCAUCCUGCCGUCCUAGCGGUCCUUGGUCUUGUUGCACCGAUAUGGAAAUCUUUGCCUGAUUCCUCGAGACUCCGCGCUUGCGCUUGCCCCCUUGGCACCAAAGGGGAAAUGGGUACUCUGCGCCCGCUGGCGCCCGCCUGGCCUUGGUCGUCAUGGCUCACGUCACGUGAACCUCGCGAGGUGCACCUUGCAUGGAUAUCUCCGCUCCUCGGGAGCCAGCCUAGUGAGACUGCCCCUAGGGAGGUCUUGUUGUCGUCCACCUUGUGAGGGUCUUGAGCUGUUGUUGUCGAUGUUGGGCCGUACCAGGCGGUCGAGGGAGCCACGUCCUGGGCCGCACGCAGGCAAGUCUGGGUACCCCUGUUCCCAAGACGCCGACAGUAGCCCCCGGGCCCAAGGCGCGCUCGAACUUGGCUUCAAGGCGAAGGCAAGGGGCAAGUGUGGAGCGCCGCGGGCCCCAACCGCUCGCGUCCUUGGUCGACGCGUGGCGACUGAUUGUACGUGGGCGUCUCCGCUUCCCCACGCUGCCUCGGCAACCGCCUGAUUUGACGAGACCCUGCUGCAUGCAGAAGAAACCAUCAAUACGUGCGAUCAUGGAGUCCUCCAAGACCAUCUAACUCAACCUAUUCAUCUACAAUUCAAACCGCUAGGUUCAAUCCAAACGGCUUGGUUCGAAAAGCAAAGCACAAAAAAAACUCACCUAGGCAAUUCGUUGAACACUUGCAGUGCGGUAGUGGUGAAUCGGCCGGCUGGUGUCGUUUAGACCAACCCGGCUGGCGGCGACGCGUGCGUAUGACCUGCAGCGGUGUGCAAGCAAGAUGAGAUGCGACUGCCGACAAAAAAUGAAGAAGUUUUGAAGCAAUCCGACGAAUCAGCUAUGGCGAUGGUGGUGGCGUUUCACCUUAUUUCCGGCGAUGGCGGUGGGGGCCGAUCGGGCUCGACGUCGGUCAGAAGGUUGGCGGGGGCAAAGGAAGGCAACGAGGUAGUAGUAGCACCGAUGGGAGGUUGCCGGGAGGCGCGCCAGUGAAGAUGUGGUGGCAGGGGCGACGAGAGGGAGAGGCACGACUUUUACUCAGAGCCAUAACGGCGAGUAUAUUUAGGGAGAAAGUUGGCACGGGAGGAUAAUAUUUACUCCCUUACGGCCGAUUGGGGAUCGGUUAGGUGUGCGUUAGAGGAGUAAAAUAUACUUUUUACUCCUCUAACGCCGGAUAGUCGAUCAGUUAGAAAUGCCCUUGGAGCACGUACAUCCGCAUACCCAAAAUUGACCCGUGAUAUGCCCGCAUUUUGGUGCGUCCAUGGACAGGGCCCGGUCACCCCUCAUUUUUCAUCCACUGCUACCACAUACCUCAAAUAUCACACCCUAAAUUCAUACUACACCAUGCAACAAAAAAGUUACAUACUACAUAGAUAAAACAACCCUACUACUAUUUGUUGUCUGAGAUGUCAAUGACCUCCGUGCCGGCAGUGCCAGACAGACCACAGCUCCGUCUCCUUGUCAGAGUCCAGAUCCACAAAGACUUCCUUCAUAUUUGGUCCGUCCGACGGAGGUAGCGGCGAGCUCUGACCGGAAGGAGUUGAUGAUGGCCUACUUCUCUGUUGCCUCCUCCGCUUGGGCCACCUCAAACUCGGCCAGCGCGUCGCCCAUGUAGAUUCCGCAUAUAAAGGUGCCUGAUCCGCACCGCCUUCCUCCUCCACCAUCUCUGUGUCUGAUGCCUCCUGCCCCAGUGCCUCACCCUCCUCCACUGUCGGUGCAACAAACAUCCGCGUUUGAUGACCGGACUCAUAUUGUAGUGACCCGACCUCAGACGGUCAAGUCUAUGUGCUUAAGUGUCAUCCCUGGAUCGGUAUGCUGACACACACAGUACUCGAGGAUUUAUAACACAUGUAAAUCACAUGUAUAAAGUAACGUAAAUACUAUUACCUUAAUCCAAAUAGGGGAAGUAACAAGGUUGUGGAUUCCCAUCAACACCAACGGCAAAGUUGAGUGUAGAAAUCGUAACCCUAACGUAUCACUUACUCGUCGUAAGAUUCCUGCAACAUGAGAUGUUGCAGCCAUAUAGGUCAGUACAUUGAAUGUACUGGCAAUUUCACACAGUAGAGCAAUGCUGAAUAAUGGCUAUCACUACAUGCAUAUUUGGCUGGUGGAGGCUCUAAGUUUAAUUUUGCAUAAAGCUAAUUUUUCCGUACAACAAAGGAAUAGAUUUUAUUUAACUACAAAGUUGGUUGAAAUAUUGAGAAGGUUCCUCCAACUCAACCCCAAAGUAAUAAUUAUAACCCAACAAAUUCAUUAAGUAAUGUGAUGAGAUCAAAUCAAUAAUUCAAGUACUAGAUACUCAAGAUGUCCAUAACCGGGGACACGGCUAAUCAUGAUUAGUUUGUACACUCUGCAGAGGUUUUGCGCACUUUCCCCCACAAGACUCGAUCUCCUCCGUAGUAUUUCUCGCAUUGCAUGAUGUUUGAGAAACGGAUGACCGAGACAGUCUUUCCGAAGAGGUCCCCUUAACCGAUAGAUAGGCCGGUACACUUACAAUCCCCUACAUCUGCUAGCCUAUCAUGGAAAGGUUUCCCACAACUUACUCAACUAUGCCAGAGCCCUUAAUGGCUUGUGGCUGCACACGGAAGUUUCUAGCAAGAAUAAUCUUAUGAUCCCUUUGAGCCGGGGUGGCAUUCCAUAGAGUGAUCACACGGGUACUCCGGGAUUCCCUUGGGCAAGCACUAGGUUCUCCAGGUGCCCGGGCAAACCACUGGGUGCUCCAGGGUGCCCCAACCAUUCCAACCAGAUGUGUAUUAAAAUAGCCACCUUAAGUUUCCCUUAGUUGAUAUAAUAACUCUCACAUCUUUCAUGAAUUCUCUCAAAACCAAACCACGUCUACGAGCAUAGCAUAGCCGUAUAAGCAUAACGGAGUAACACCCUGGGUUUGAAUGCAAGACAAUAGGUUCCUACCUCAUCAACUACUUCCCAAUACCCACGUGUUAUCAAAUCCUAACCAUGCAAUGUUUGAGGGGUUGAAACUAAUGCAUAAAAAGUAGGUAACAAAGGGAUAUGAUCAAAGUGUGAACUUGCCUUGUACUGUUGAUGAAGAUGAUUCGCACUCAUAACUCCUAAUAGGUCUACUCGUCACACUCUGUUCAAUCUAUCGUAAGCAAGCAAUAGUAACCACACAUAAGCAAUCAUGCAAAAGAAUCGAAGAAAAGAUCUCGGAAAACUUCGAAAACAAACAAUUAACUCUUGCAACAGAAAACAAUUUCCAACAGUACAAAAAUUGGGUGAAUUUGGCCUUAUCAGAAAGUUUAGGUCAAGAGCUUCGAUUUGCAAAAAGAAUCAAUUAAAUCGGAGUUAUAAAACUUGAGUUAUGAACAAAAGAAAUUCAAAUUCAAAUCUGUUUUAAAUCAAAUUUUAAAUUUUCAAAAACAUAUUCAAGUUGUUUAUCUGGAUAGAGGGGAUCGUAACGAAGAAGUGGGCAUUGGUUUCAUUGAAUUUGGAUAAGCGGGAAAAAAGUUGUGAUCGAUUGAAAACCAGGGGCUAAUAUGUAGAGAAAAGUAAUCACAUAAGGGUCCCUGGCCGAAAACUAAAAUAAAAAGAGAAAACUACCGAACGAACGUUCGCUACAGAACCUAAACCGACAAACUUUGCUCGCUCCAGAGCCUAAGCUAACGAACGUUCACUAAUUAAACAAAAACAUUUUGAAUAAAAUAAAAAUAAUGAUAAUAACGCGACCUAAUCCUAAUCGUUGAUCCUAGAUCUAACAGACGAGGGAGGAGGCGGGCUUACUGCGGCGGUGGGUGUCGACGUCGCCGGAGAAAUUGGCGACGGCGGCUCGGACGUCGAGGGCAUCGGCUGCUCCGGGGUCGGCGGCGACGACAGAGUAGAUGGGGAGGUGCCGCGCGAUGGGGGGAAUCUGAUGGCGGUGGCGGCGUCGGUCGUGGGCGGCGGUGAAGCGCGGGACAAGGCGGCGGAGCUCGCGAACUCCGGCGAGUUCGCGAGGGGCAUGGGGAGGGUCUCGGGCGCUGCGGUUUGAGGCAAAACGAGGCCGAGGCCUCGGCUAUUUAUAUGCGGGCUUUCGUGCAUAUAAGGGGAAAAGCGGGAGGAGAGUCCCGAGAGGACUCGGCGUCGGCCGGCGACUGCGUGCUGGAGAUCGACUCCGGCUGGAGGACGGGGACGAUCCCGACAGGUGGGUCCCACCUGUCGGUGGCUGAGCGUGGCGGCGUGCGCGCGAAGGAGAGAGCGGGCGGGCAAGGCGGAGCUGGUUCGGGCGCGAGGAGGCCGCUGCUGGGCUGGGCCGGGGGCCUGGCCUGGCGCAGUCGGUGGGCUUUUCCUUUUUUAAACAAUUUUACAGAAAAUAAAAGGAAACCAAAAUACAAUAAAAAUAUACCAUAGACAUAUAAUAUAUCGAAAUUUUCAGAAAAUUAUUUUCUACAUCAUGAACAUUUUUCUAUCAUCAAAUAAAAUCCACACAAAUUUAAAAUAAACAAACAGUGCUACUGAUUUAUUUAAAAACCAAAUAAAAUAUUUUAAAAUACCAACAUGAUUUCAAACUCAUUUUUCUCCACUUUUCUACUGUAGGGAAUCAUUUUACCCUAUUUUCCAUAUAAUUUAUUUUCGGAGAAAAAUAAUUUGAAUAAAACCAAAAUAACUCCAGAUUGAAAAUAAUUUCAAAGGGACUUUAAAUUUGAUUCUUUUAAACUUCCAACUCAUAUUUCGUAUGAUUUGAUGAAGUCAUUUUAUCUUCUCUCAUGAAAAUCAUUGAGUUGCAUAAAGUUUCUGAAUUUGUAAUAUUUUCAAAUAGAAUUCAAACCUUUUUCAAAACCCCUUUUUCAUUUAAUUAAAUGGAAGAAGUCAUAUCAUCUUCUCUCUAGGGUUUUGUGAUGAAAUGAAAUUUGAAUUCAUGGAGAUCAUAAAUGCAAGGUGAAAAUUUGGGAAAGUCAUUUCAUUCCCUCUCAUUCAACUUUCAAAAGUUUCAAAUUUCACUCAAUUUCACACAUGCAACCACACCACAAUCAAACAAACAAUCAAAACUAUUUAUUUAAUAUAACGUUCCAAAAUUUAGAAUUUUGGGAUAUUACACAUACACAGGCGUGCUGACAUUCAUACAUCCAGCACUAGUGUGUAACGCAAGGCCGAGCCAGAAAAGCUGCUCUUCAUGAGAUCAAGGAGCGCGUCAAGAAGACCAAGCCAACAUACAAGACAACGAUUCCAAGGGAAGUGUCCUUUGCUGGUCACUAGUAGAAAACGACACAUUUUCCCGGUUCCAGAGGCCCUUUAGCCCCGGUUCAGGAACUGAGACUAAAGGCUCGGGUCUAAAGCCCAAAACCUUUAGUCCCGGUUCGUAAGCGAACCGGGACAGAAGGGGCUCCACGUUGCCGCUGCGGGGCGCCCAGGCACGAGUACCUUUAGUCCCGGUUGGUAACACCAACCGGGACCAAAAGGCAUCCAUGUGUCAGCAGAUGGCAGGAGCAGGGUUUUUUGUUUNNNNNNNNNNNNNNNNNNNNNNNNNNNNNNNNNNNNNNNNNNNNNNNNNNNNNNNNNNNNNNNNNNNNNNNNNNNNNNNNNNNNNNNNNNNNNNNNNNNNNNNNNNNNNNNNNNNNNNNNNNNNNNNNNNNNNNNNNNNNNNNNNNNNNNNNNNNNNNNNNNNNNNNNNNNNNNNNNNNNNNNNNNNNNNNNNNNNNNNNNNNNNNNNNNNNNNNNNNNNNNNNNNNNNNNNNNNNNNNNNNNNNNNNNNNNNNNNNNNNNNNNNNNNNNNNNNNNNNNNNNNNNNNNNNNNNNNNNNNNNNNNNNNNNNNNNNNNNGGGGUUUUGGAGGGUUAAUUUAGGGGUUUCAUAUAUUGUGUUAGCUAGCUAAUAGAGAGAAGUGACCUCUCUUAUCUCCGUGCUUGGUCGAUGCUAGCUACUAUACAUAUAGAGAGAACUCGACACGCUAGCUAGUAAGCAAAUGAAGGAACCAUUAAUUACACAAGAUCUUCAUGAACAUAUACAUAGAGGAGUGCACCUCUCUUUCUCCGAGAGAUUUGUCGAACAACAAGUUUUCGUAUAUCUAUCCGAUGCUACUAGCUACAUAUAUAGAAUAUAAGAUCUCUUACAAUCCCUAACAUCUAAGGUCAAUUUCCACAUGGUAUUCUCCGGCUUUAUUGAUGACGUGGUCAAGAAAUAAUCCCGCCAAUUCCUCUUGAAUUGCUCGUAUGCGAUCAUGUGGUGGGAGUUCAUCCCGCAUCUGCAGAUCUAAUCUGAAGAAGGGGGUCAAUACAUGUAUAUGAAUGAAACUCAACACAAAUGAUGGUAAUAAAAUAAAAUUGUGACUAUUUUUGCUUACACACUUCAUAUUGUUUUUCAGAGUAGCCCCGCUUAGAGGCCGUCGUGUUGUAGAUGAACUCGCAAAUGUAGUAUCCACAAAAAUCAUUCCCGGCUUCCUGCCACAAGCACUUCACAAGAAAUAGAGGUCAAUCAAACUGAUAAGCAAGCAUGCUAAAUGGUAUUGAUGAAACUAGCUAGAAUCAAUGGGAGAUACGCGGAACUAGGUAGUAGUACUUACUUUCGGGCGUGUAAAUCGCAGCUCCCUCGGCAGUCCCGGGGCAAUUACGGUGAAAUCUUUCCAAACCCUGCCAGACAAAGAAAAUAAUUGCUUGAUAUCAGGAAAUGAACAAAGUUGCCGAUAUGGUGCGAUAAUGAUCGAUUGAACUUACUUCUCGAGCAUUUCAGCCAUGUCCGCAUAGUCCUCGGGAUCUUUUCGUCUCGAGUCUAAGAAGGUUACAACUCCCCGGUCAAGCUUAAUCUCUAGGAGAAUAAAGUGGAACCUGUGCACGCAUGCAUAACUCAUCAAUUACAUUACUAUAACCUCGAGUAAUAAGGGAAACCGAAUAUGCACAAGACAGUAACACUCACUUGAAGUUGUAAGGAAAGAGUAUUUUAGAUUUGUUUUGAUUUUUGAGCAACAAUUGUAGCAAGUUGUCCUCGUUUUCCGUGACAUUCUUUUGAACCGUCCAUUCAUGUAUGAUAUUUGGGUUAAUGAACCCAAUGUCAUAGAUUUGUGCUUUUCUGCAUUCGACGAUCUUCAAUCUGCAUAAUAUACUGAGGAUAAUUAUAUAUACACAUGCAAUGAAAGAGUUGAGCUAUAUAUAGAGACUUAAUUACAGAAGUAGUACUUUCAGACAGUAGCAAGUCAUGAGUGUUUUGUCGAGGGCCUUUUGAUUGUAUAACUAGAAUAACUCGUUAAAUUCAAUAGACAACAGAUCCAUUGCAACGAGGUCGUGCUCCUCUUUAAUUCUCAGCGCCAAAGUAUCCUUCCCAGACUCGCUGCAGGUUUCCAUGUACCAUUCAUGGAAUCUUCGCAUCAUCGUUGUUGAAGGAGGAUGGCCAGGUUUGAUGAGAGGCUUCCCGUGCUGGUAUCUGAAUUCUUCCACCUCCAUUGUUUCAAACUCUAUAUCAUCACUCAGGUAAUCAGCAAGAUUGGUACCGAGCACCAUCCCCGGCUGAUUAGCGAUGAUAUGGCUAGACACCUUGAGCGGGGGGCACGAUUGGUUCGCCUGUUCGCCGAGCUGAGGAAUUUUUUCCCACUUCUUCGUUCUGCUAACCUUUUAUCACUCGAAGUACUUCCCGACCGCCGCACAUCUUCAUAUGUCUUUUUAAGACAGCAAACAUAGUUGGAAUCCGGUGCAGGUGGUGGUGGUCGCUUCAGUGCAUCGAUAGUGCGAUUCACUUUCACCGGAUCUAUCAUCUCCUUCGAAGGUGGAGGUUUCUUUGCAAAAAAGUCCCUCACUUGGGCCGCACAGAUCUCUGUGUUUUCCUUCUCGGUCCUCUCGUAUGGUAACUUUUCCAGAGGCUUGAGAGAUGGACCAUAUCUGAAUUGCCUUGGUAGGAACCCUCUUCCUAGGGCGCUCGCCGUCAACAUCACCAGGAUCAUCUCGUCUGAGCUUAUACCGCAAUGCACCACAUACCGGGCAUGCAUUAAAAUCCUCGUACGCAUCGCGGUAGAGGAUGUAGUCAUUAGGGCAUGCAUGUAUCUUCUGCACCUCCAAUCCUAGAGGGCAUACAACCUUCUUUGCUGCAUACGUACUGCUGGGCAAUUCCUUAUCCUUUGGAAGCUUCUUCUUCAAUAUUUUCAGUAGCUUAUCAAAUCCUUUGUCAGGUACACCAUUCUCUGCCUUCCACUACAUCAAUUCCAGUGUGGUACCGAGAGCUUUGUGUUGCCAUCUUCGCAAUUGGGGUACAACCCUUUUUUGUGAUCCUCUAACAUGCAAUCGAACUUCAACUUCUCCUUUUCACUUUCGCAUUGUCUCUUUGCAUCAACAAUGACCCGGUGAAGAUCAUCAUCGGGCACAUCGUCUGGUUCCUCUUGAUCUUCAGCUUCCCCCAUUGCAGCAUCACCAUAUUCAGGGGGCACAUAGUUGUCAUCAUCCUCUUCUUCUUUGUUGUCUUCCAUCAUAAAGCCUCUUUCUCCGUGUGGUCCAAACAAUAUAGUGUGGCAUGAAACCCUUAUAAAGCAGGUGGGUGUGAAGGAUUUUUCGGUCAGAGUAAGACUUCGUAUUCCCACAUAUAGGGCAUGGACAACACAUAAAACCAUUCUGCUUGUUUGCCUCAGCCACUUCGAGAAAAUUAUGCACACCCUUAAUGUACUCGUAGGUGCGUCUGUCACCAUACAUCCAUUGCCGGUUCAUCUGUGUGCAUUAUAUACAAUUAAGUGUGUCAAAAACCAUUACAGAACAUCAUGAAUACAGAAGUGACCAAAUUAAUAGAAGUUCAUCAUUAAAACCAAAGUAUAGUAAUGAUCAAAUGUUAUUACUAAAAAAAAAGUUCAUACAUAUAUAGUUCUCAUUGAACAACAUAUUUAUAGCUCUCUAGAGCAUCUAAUUAAACCAUACAUUGAAACUAUGUAAAACAUUUCAAUGCAACAACAAAUGCGAUCAUAAUCGCAACUAAGGUAACAAUUGAUCCAACGACCUAAUGAUACCAAGCCUCAGUAUGAAUGGCAUAUUUUCUAAUCUUUCUAGUCUUCAAGCGCAUUGCAUCCAUCUUGAUCUUGUGAUCAUCGACGACAUCCGCAACAUGCAACUCCAAUCUCAUCUUCUCCUCCUCAAUUCUUUUCAAUUUUUCCUUCAGGUAAUUGUUUUCUUCUUCAACUAAAUUCAAUCUCUCGAUAAUAGGGUCGGUUGGAAUUUCCGGUUCACAUACCUCCUAGAUAAAAACAUCCAUGUGACGUAGGUCGGCAUAAUUGUCAUAUACACUAAAUGAACCAAAUAGUUAUAAAAGAUAAUAUAUACCACAUCUGAAUCAUAGACAGGACGAGGGCCGACGGAGGCAGAUACCAAAACCAUCGCACUAUAUAAUAACAAAAAAUAAUAAAAGUAAGAAAAUUAUACAAGUAUCUAUCUAAUCAUACAAGUAAGAGCUUUUUUAUUUUAGAAAGAAGAUAAGAACAAGAGGCUCACCACGGUGGUGCCGGCGAUGAGCUCGACGCGGGUGAUCGAGGGCGGUGAGGACGGGGAUGGGACAGGACACGGACCGCCAAACUUAGACAAAUCUCGAGGAAAAUGGAGCUUGGACAAGGAGCUUUGAGAGGAGAAAGCUUAAGUGUGGCUCGGGCAUUUCAUCGAACACCUCAUGUGCAUAGGAGGUGAGCUAGAGCACCACAAAGCUCUCCCAUGGCCGGCCAAGAAAAUAGAGCGAUGGCUCUGCUCGCGGGCAGGGCUCGGGGUAUAUAUAGGCCACUCUUUAGUCCCGGUUGGUGGCUAGAACCGGGACUAAAGGACCACAUUUGGUCCUGGUUCCAGCCACCAACCGGGACCAAUGGUUGUGGGCCAGGAGCGAGGCCCAUUGGUCCCGGUUCGUGCCUGGAACCGGGACCAAAGGGGUUAGACGAACCAAGACCAACGGCCCACGAGGCCCGGCCGCGCCCUGGCCUCAUGAACCGGGACCGAUGCACCCAUUGGUCCCAGCUCGUGAGUGAACCGAGAUUAACGGGCUUUUCAGGCCUGGACCAAAGCCCGGUUUUCUACUAGUGGGUCAGACAAGGCCUGCAAGGUCGAUGCAAUAAACAAGAGCAAGAUCAAGCCGCGCCAGCCGUGUUUCUGGGACAGCCGAAGACCAAUGCACGGACCCCACCAAGAAGGCCCGGCAAGCCUUGCCCUGGAAGGCGCAGGCCAGUUACCACCGCACCACAACGCCAGUCACUUGUCGAUGCGGUGUCGAGCCCCCCAAGCAACUAAGUGGCUCUCACGAAGCACGUGGCGGUUUGUUGGGAGGCAUAUCACACCCGUUUGACACCCGUCCAAGGGUGUGUCAAGAUGAUAAGCAGAAGUUGGCUAAGCGGCGAUAUAAGCUUGUCGGGGAUGCAUCCUCGCAUGCCACCUAAGGUAGCAUUUAUGGAAUUUUGUCCUAAGUGCCAGAGUUAGGUAUGAUAGCACUGUUGGCUAUCUAAUCGCAAGAUAAUGUCUGUUUUGCCAUUGUGGUCACCCUUGAUCUAUAAAAGGAGGUCCAAGGCAACCUAGACAAGGAUUCAGAUCUUCUCACACUUGUACUCGCGUUGCAGAUCUCCCCAAGGACACCUUGCCGGGUUUGGGCGUUGCGUGUCUUCGUGUUCCUCUAGCCAAUCCACCAAAGCAUGAGUAGGGUUUUACGCUUCACAGCGGCCUGAACCUGGGUAAAAACCACCAGAUUCUUGUCGUCGUGUUGCCUCAUGGCUUCCACUCUUUGUGCAACGUGAUCUCCCCACUGCCGAACCACAAGGGCCCGUGAUCCCAUAGGUGAUAGUGUCCACCCACGACAUCUUUGGCACGCCAGGUAGGGGGGAUCGCUUUCGCGAACCCGAAGUUGUGAUCAGCGCGUCGAUCACAACUACUUGUGAUUGUUAGAGAUGUUGAAGUAUUGUGUGGUAAAAUAAAGAAAAAAGUCCAUUUUACUUCCUUGAAUAAAAUGGGUGGUUCACAUAAUCCCCUGAACUUCUUUUCGGUUCACUUAACCCCCUCAUCUAUCUCAAACUGUUCAAAAAUCAUAUCUAGCUGCUUUUCUGAGCUCAUUUUUUUACUUGGACACGGUCAAGCUGGUAUUUGACCAGUGGGGCCCUCUUGCCGCAACCCCACUCCCCUCCUGUACGUUGAGAGCAUAGUCGACGCUCAGUUUACGCCGCCGACGCUGUAGUUUUUUCUUCCCCCACGCAGCCAACACCUCCCCCUCGCCUUAAAGCCAUGUCCUUGAGCUUCCCCUCCCUCUACUAUAUGUUCCUGCUAAACGGCUUUGUCCGAGUCGGCGUGAAUCUCCGCCGCCUAUGUCUUCUUCCCCGCUUCCGGCAUCGAUCGUCACAGCCUCGAUCUCUUCCUAUGGCGACCCCGCUAUUCCUUCUCUACUUUCUGAGCACAGUGUUGCUCCUCUAAAGUUGACCAGCCCGUCCAUUUGGAGCCGCACAUCCUUGAGAACGUUUCCCCACAUGGCCAAGCUCAGCCCCCACUGCGGCUAUGGGCAGCGCACGAACCAAGUAAGCUAUAGAGAUGAGAGAUGGAACAGAGAGGCUCUGGAGGAGCAGGGGCUCACCUAGGGGGUGCUAGGGCAUGAAGGGAGACUGGGGUGCUCUGCAGCGAUGCCAUGGAUGCUCAAGGCGGGGAGCAGAGUGCAGGCUCAUGGGGGAAGGGGCUUGGGGUCACGGGCCUCGUCGAGAAGCUGUCCAGAAGUUGUGCAAGCUGGUCCCAGGUCAAGGAAGGGGUCGUGGAGCUCGGGGGCACGCCGGUGAUGGUGAAUGUUGGUGCGGUCGUUAGCAGCGGCGAGGAAGGCGAGGAUGCCAGGGUCGAUUGGGGGUGGCUCGACACAAUGAAUAUGGCAUAGUUGAAGAGGGCCAUGAGGCAGAUGUUGCGGACAUCUUUGCGUGGCUUGGUGCUUCCUCCGGCCACGUGCACGAUGACGGUGGCCGCCGACCAAAGCUCGGGCCCUCUCAGGUGGCUGAAGAUGUGGGAUGGAGGGCAGAGGAGGGCCCCACUGGUCAACAAACCGCUUUGACCUCGUCCAUGUCACUAAAACCACCAUGCAAACCCGCCAAUGAAAAAUUCUGAACGGGUUGGGAUUAGGGGGUUAAGUGAACCGAAAAAGUUCGGGGGAUUAUAUGAACCACCCAUUUUAUUCAAGGGAGAAAAAUGGACUUUUUUCUAAAAUAAAAUACCCUACUAAUUUUCUAGUUCUUGGUUCCCCACAAGAUGACUUCUGUCCCAUUAUCUUUGAUAGACCUUUCUUCGACACUGUCAAUGCUACUAUAGAUUGUCAUAAACAAACUGCCAGAGUUGGCUUUGGUGAUGAGUCUCAUGAAUUUAAUUUCUGCAAGUUUAAUAGACAACCUCAUAAGAAAGAAUUGCCUAGCAAAGAUCAAAUAAUUGGUCUGUCUUCUAUUGCCAUGCCUCCUACUGAUCCACUAGAACAAUAUUUGCUAGACCAUGAAAAUGAUAUGCAUAUGCAUGAAUGAAAUGAAAUAGAUAAAAUAUUCUUUGAACAACGGCCUCUGCUUAAACACAAUUUGCAUAUUGAAACUCUUGGAGGUCCUCCUCCACCUAAGGGUGAUCCUGUGUUUGAAUUAAAACAACUGCCUGACACUUUGAAAUAUGCUUAUCUUGAUGAGAAAAAGAUAUAUCCUGUUAUUAUUAGUGCUAACCUUUAAGAACAUGAAGAAAAAAGAUUAUUGAAAAUUUUGGAGAAGCACCGAGCUGCUAUUGGAUAUACCCUUGAUGAUCUUAAAGGCAUUAGUCCCACUCUCUGUCCGCACAAGAUUAAUAUGGAACCUGAUGCUAGACCCGUUGUUGAUCAUCAAUAACGUUUGAAUCCUAAGAUGAAAGAAGUGGUAAGAACUGAAAUAUUAAAACUUGUGGAAGGAGGUAUAAUCUAUCCAAUAGCUGAUAGUCGAUGGGUAAGUCCCGUACAUUGUGUCCCUAAGAAGGGAGGUAUUACUGUUGUUCCUAAUGAUAAAAAUGAGCUCAUUCCGCAAAGAACUGUUACUAACUAUAGAAUGGUAAUUGAUUUUAGAAAAUUAAAUAAAGCAACUAGAAAAGAUCAUCACCCUCCGCCCUUUAUUGAUCAAAUGUUGGAAAAACUAUCUAAGCACACACACUUUUGCUUUCUUGAUGGAUAUUCUGGCUUUUAUCAAAUACCUGUUUCACAACCUGAUCAAGAAAAAACCACUUUUACAUGCCCUUUUGGAACUUAUGCUUAUAGACGUAUGCCUUUUGGUUUAUGAAAUGCACCUGCUACCUUUCAAAGAUGUAUGACUGCUAUAUUCUCUGAUUUUUGUGAAAAUAUUGUUGAGGUUUUCAUGGACGAUUUUUCCUUUUUAUGGAACUUCUUUUGAUGAUUACUUGAGCAACCUUGAUCUAGUUUUGUAGAGAUGUGAGCAAACAAAUCUUGUCUUGAAUUGGGAGAAGUGCCACUUUAUGGUUAAUGUAACAUCCCAAAUUUUCAAUUUGGAAUGUUAUACAUAGAUCAUUCAUGCAUAUCAUAUCUUUGUUGCAUUUCGUUUCGCAAUCCUCGAAAUCCUAAGCAACUCAAGGACCCUCGGAGAGAGUUGGGGAUUUCACUGUUUUCAUAUUUGAAUCUUAUCAAAUAUUGAAACGAGGAUUAUUUGUUUUAAUUAUUUUUCUCUCCGAAAAUAUUUCAUAUUAAAAUAUAUGAGAGGAGAUAAUAUGACUUCCUCAAAAUAAAUGAAAUAUUGGAGGAAAAAUAUUAAAAUCAAAUAUUUUAUUUUAUUCGGAUUUUAUUGCUAUUUUAUUUGCAUUAGAAAAAAUUGCAUGUUUUCAAAAUUGGAUUUUAGGGCCAAGAAAAUGUUCAGCUUGUUCUAAAUAUUUUAUUUAGAUGGGGAAAAUUUGUUUUGGCAUUUUUAGAUUUUUAUUUAUUUUUCUAGGAUUUAUUUUCAUCGGAAUCUGUUUAAAAAAAACCCCGCCAGACCGAACUGGGCCGAGGCACAGCCGCCCCACGCCGCCGUCUCCCUCGCGGAGACCACGACCGCCACGCCAUCAUCACCGUGGCUGAGUCGGCCACGCCCCCUGCCCCAUCCCGCAAGCCACCGCCACCCCCCUCCUUUAAAAGCCGACCGGGGGCCCCCCUGGAGCCCCAAGCCGGAGCCGCCGCCGCCGCNNNNNNNNNNNNNNNNNNNNNNNNNNNNNNNNNNNNNNNNNNNNNNNNNNNNNNNNNNNNNNNNNNNNNNNNNNNNNNNNNNNNNNNNNNNNNNNNNNNNNNNNNNNNNNNNNNNNNNNNNNNNNNNNNNNNNNNNNNNNNNNNNNNNNNNNNNNNNNNNNNNNNNNNNNNNNNNNNNNNNNNNNNNNNNNNNNNNNNNNNNNNNNNNNNNNNNNNNNNNNNNNNNNNNNNNNNNNNNNNNNNNNNNNNNNNNNNNNNNNNNNNNNNNNNNNNNNNNNNNNNNNNNNNNNNNNNNNNNNNNNNNNNNNNNNNNNNNNNNNNNNNNNNNNNNNNNNNNNNNNNNNNNNNNNNNNNNNNNNNNNNNNNNNNNNNNNNNNNNNNNNNNNNGUGCAAGCCGCCGGAACCGCCGCCGAUCCGAUCCGAUCUCGCUGUUCUGUUUUUUCCGGUUUAGGUAAAAACCGUUGGUUUUUUUAUAAAACCCUAGUUUCGUUUCUUUUCUAGAUCGGUUCACCGGUUUUCUCGGUUUAGUUAUUUAGCGGACAUUCGUACGUGCGUUCGUUUUAAUGAACGGUUUUCGCUCGUUAGUUACAGACAACGAACGUUCGUUCGUUAGCCUGUUCGUCAGUUUUUCUUUUUCUCGGGUUUUUCACGAUUAUUUACGAUCAUGAUUUCUGAUCCGAUUUUCGUUUCAGUUUAUCUUUUCCCUCGUUUAUCGGAAUUAGGAGAUUCAAGCGCCUAGAUCUUUGUCUCGAAACCCUCUUUCUGUUUAACCAACUUGAACAAGAUUUUGGUACUGUAAAAUUUGACUUUCGUUCAGAUUAGUAAACGGAUCUCGUUUCUCUCGAAGUCUGAGUUUCGUUGCUCCGUUUGAUUUGAUUCUUUUUGCAAACCGGAGUUCUUAAGUUGAACUUUUUGGUCGAUUCUUCUUAUUUGAGUUUUGCCCGUGCAUCUGUGAUUGAUUGCUUAUGUAUGCUAUUGUUUGCUUGCGAUAGAAUUCCCGGAGUGUGAAGCGUGCUACUACGAGUCCCUAGGUUUUGCGGAUCGUCAGCAAGGCAAGUAACACAUUGAUCAUACUCUUUUCAUACCCAGUUUUUAUGCAUUAGCUCCAAUCCUCAAACACUGCAUGAUUAGGAUGUGAUUAACUUGUGGGUAUUGGGAAGUUGUUGAUGAGGUAGAACCUAUUGCCCUGUUAUAUUCAAACCCUUGGGAGUUACUUCUACGUAUUGCUUAUAUUGCUAUGCUAUGCUCGUAGACGUGGUUUGGGUGAGUGAAUCCAUGACAGAUGUGAGAUUGUUAAUUAAUGGUUCAACUUAAGGUGGCAACUUAAAUGCACAUCUGGGUGGAUUGCUUGUCGGGCACCUGGAGAAUCCAGUGUUGUCCUAGGAUAUCCCGGAGUACCCGUGUGAUCAUCCUAAGGUCCGCCACCCAGGCUCAAAGGGAACUGAGAUAUUUCAUGCUAGAAACUUCCGUGUGCAGCCACAAGCUAUUAUGGGCUCUAGCAUAGUUGAGUCAGUUGCGUGAGCUCUUGAAGAGGUGGACUAGCAGAUGUAGAGGGAUGUAGGUUGGUAUAGUCUACCCGGAGUAAAGAGUUAACGUUUCUGAAAGACUGUGUCUCGGUCAUCCGUUUCUCAAACACCAUGUAGUGAGAGAAAUCGAGCGAAGGAGAUCCAGUCUUGUGGGGAAAAGUGCGCAAAUCUCUGCAGAGUGUACAAUGUAAUCAUGGUUAGCCGUGUCCCCGGUUAUGGACAUCUUGAGUAUCUAGUACUUGGAUUAUCCUAAGUAUCUCAUCACUCUAAUUUAAUAUUGGUGGCUUGAUAAUUACUUUUAAUUGGGAUUGAGUUGGAGGAACCUUCUCAAUGAUGUUUCAACUACCAUGAUAGUUAAAUUAAAAAUUAUUCCUUUGUUGUAGGAAAAAAUUGGCUUUUCGCAAAACUAUAACCAUAGAGCUUUCCACCAGCCAAAUAUGCAUGUAGUGAUAGCAUUAUUUCUGUUCUUACUCUACUGUGUUACAUUGCCAGCAUUAUUUCUGACCCGUUUUCGGGCUGCAACGUAUUAUGUUGCAGACUUUUCAGACGAGGAGUAAGGUUCGUUAGGUCGUUGUCGUGCAGCUCAGCUAUGCCGUUGGAGUUGAUGGACUCACUUUAUCUUCCAAGCCUUCCGCUGUUAUCGUAUUAGAUGGCCUUAAGCCAUAUUUAUUGUAAUAAGUUCUCUUCUUAGACAUUCGAUGUAAUAAGUGUGUGAUUGCUACUCUGUUAUAAAUCCUUCGAGUACUGUGUGUGUCAGCAUUACCGAUCUAGGGAUUACACUGAAGCACAGAGACUUGACCGUUUGAGGUCGGGUCGCUACAAGAUGGUAUCAGAGCACACGCUGAGUGUAGGACACGACCACUAAGAUAAGCCAUAGGUCACUCUUCUCUACUCAUUUCUGACUCCUCCAUUUUCUACUCUUAGGAUGGCGGAUUCGAGGAACAAGUUUGCACAAUCGGAUGAAGACACCCCCUUUGGACGCCACUUGAAGGAAGUCACUAGGUACCUGAACAUCGGAAUACCAAGCUUCACCGGGAGUUACAACGCCACUUUACCAGAAGAGGAGCGCUGGAUGAUUCAAGUUCAAGUUCCGGGAAGGACGUUCUCGCCAACCACUAAGCCCAUAGAGUUUUCUUUUGAUGCACCAACCUGGAGUCUAGGCAAGAGCAUGGCAGCCCACAUUGCCAUGGGACGCAUUGGAGAAGUCUAAAACAAGGAUCUUAAGGACACUAUCUAUCAGAUAUGUGGGCGCCGAGAUGAGCAAUGGGAGAUGAUCAGCACCAAGAAGGACAGAUCCAUUGCAGCUUUCAUCCAGGAGUUAAACCAGCACAUUCGACGCUAGGAGAAUCAGAUGUGCGCAGACAUGAUAGAUUUGAAGAAGGCGAAGACAAGGAUCAUCGAGCUAGAGGAAGAACUUAAGUCUACACGCGAUGGAUAUGAGGAGGAAAUUGCCACACUACUGGAGAAGAAUGACGACCUGAUAAAGAAGAUCGGAGUAUUCAUGGGAGACCUCGCGCCAGGAGGAGAGGAUGACGAUUCCACUUGCCCAGAGAACUAGAUCAUCAUCGACGACACCGACUCCGACCCCAGUGAAGAUGACUUUGAAGACGAAGCUGGAGCAGACAUUAUGGAGUCUUCCACCGAUCAAAAUUUCUAGAUGACCACCAAAUAAUUAGUAGUAUUCCCCCAUGUAUAUAGUAGUAGUUGAGCACUUUCAACGAUAGUUCUAGACCGUUUGUAUGCCCUUGCUUGAUUGAUUGAGUGAAAUGAUUGUGUUUGUCUCAUGUGCAUAUGGGUAGUGCUUUCUCACUAGACCCCUUUUCUAUUCUAAUCUCUCCCCUCUAAACCCAUCAGAUGCCUCCGAGACGUGACACCGGAUUUGCCUUCCCGCCAGAGCUCACUCAGUUGAUCCAGUAGCAGAAUGCCUUGAUGCAAUUGUUAGUCCAGAACCAAGGCAACAACAACAACCCGCCUCUAGUUGACAACUUAGCUCGCUUUCUAAGGUUGCAGCCGCCGGUGUUUUCCAGUAGCACCGAGCCUAUAGUUGCUGAUGAUUGGCUACGCCAUAUUGGAAGGGAGUUGACCAUCGCAGGUUGCACAGACGCUGAGAAGGUGCGCUUUGCCGCACAUCAAUUGGAUGGACUAGCAGCCUCAUGGUGGGAGAAUUAUGCGACCACUUUCCCCAUAGCCAACGUCACUUGGGAUCAGUUUCAGCAAGCUUUCCGCACGGCCCAUGUCUCAACUGGAGCUAUGAAUAUGAAGAAGCGUGAGUUUCGCAACUUACGCCAGGGGAACCGUACUGUAGCUCAGUACGUGGAUGAGUUUAGCAAGUUAUCUCGCUAUGCCCCUGAUGAUGUGGCCACAGAUGCCGCGAAGCAGGAGAAGUUUAUGGAAGGCUGAAUGAUGAGAUGAGCAUGCAGUUGAUGGUGGCAACAUUCAACAACUACCAGGAGUUGGUAGAUAAGGCUCUUAUGAUUGAAGGGAAGCAGCAGCAGAUUGAGAGCCGUAAGAGGAAGUAUGGGCAAGGAAGAUACAACUCAGGAGCUCAGCAGAAGCCUCGUCUAACCCCGAACUCGGGAGGACUUGUUCAUAACCAUGGAGGUCAUAACCACACCGGAGGAAGUUCGCAUAACCACAAUGGUUCUAAGAAUGGGACCGGGAACGGAACAAGCAACAAUCAGAACUGCGCCAAUCUAGCCACACCCGCAAAGAGAGACCUAAGUCACAUUACUUGCUUCAAGUGCGGGAAGACUGGACACUAUGCCACGGUGUGCCCUGAAGCAAAGAAUGGAAACGGCAAUGGGAGCGCUGGGAAGAAGCCCAAUCCGUUCAACAAAGGACAAGUGAACCACGUUAACGUGGAGGAGGUUGAAGAGCAGCCAGACGCGGUUAUCGGUAAGUUUUUGGUUAAGUCUUUUACCGCCCUUGUUCUUUUUGAUACUGGUGCAUCGCAUUCAUACAUAUCAAGGGGAUUCGUGGAUAAGUUUAAACUACCAACCCAAACCCUUAGGACACCUCUGUUAGUGAGUUCACCUGGAGCAGAGUAUAUGGCUAGCCGAUGGUGUGAUCAGAUACCCUUAACCAUUGGUAGCCAUGUUUUCCCGUCAGACCUAAUAAUUUUGGAGUCACAAGGUUUGGAUGCGAUAUUAGGCAUGGACUAGAUGUCAGAGUAUGGAGGAAGCAUUGACUGUGCUAGUAAGUCGAUUUAUCUCACCACCCCGGAGGGAAAAAUGAUCAAGUAUGUAUCUAGGCACGCGCCUAGGAGGAGCCAAGUAAAUUCCCUCUCAGGAGUCGUUCAAGAAGAAGUGCCCGUCGUAAAGGAUUACCCGGAUGUAUUUCCAGAGGAAUUACCAGGCAUGCCGCCAGAUCGAGACAUCGAGUUUUUGAUAGAACUAUUGCGAGGCACCGGGCCUAUAUCAAAGAGACCAUACCGGAUGCCCGCAAAUGAUCUGGAGGAGAUUAAGAAGUAGAUCAAGGAGUUAUUGGAGAAAGGUUACAUUCGACGAAGUUCAUCACCAUGGGGAGCCCCGGUGCUCUUGGUCAAGAAGAAGGAUGGAUCAUUGAGAAUGGUUGUUGAUUAUUGGGCGUUGAAUGAAGUGACAAUUAAGAACAAAUACCCACUGCCGAUGAUCAAUGAUUUGUUUGACCAGUUGCAAGGAACUAAGGUGUUUUCGAAGAUCGAUCUGCGAUCAGGGUAUCAUCAGCUGAAGAUUCGAGAGAAGGAUAUACCAAAGACAGCGUUAACCACACGGUACGGGUUGUAUGAUUAUACGGUCAUGUCAUUUGGACUGACUAAUGCCCCUGCUUACUUCAUGAGCAUGAUGAACAAGGUGUUCAUGGAAUAUUUGGAUAAGUUUGUUGUGGUGUUCAUUGAUGAUAUAAUGGUAUACUCGAAGAAUGAGGAGGAGCACAAGGAGCAUUUGCGUUUAGUUCUCGAGAAACUCAGGGAACAUCAGUUGUAUGCCAAGUUUAGCAAAUGUGAGUUUUGGUUGAAGGAAGUUGGAUUCCUUGGACAUGUUAUAUCGGGAGAAGGUAUAGCAGUAGAUCCCACCAAGGUUCAGUCAGUCACUGAAUGGUUGGCACCCACUUCAGUUAGCGAGAUCCGCAGUUUUCUUGGACUCGCAGGAUACUAUCAGAGAUUCAUUGAGAAUUUUUCCAAGAUUGCGAAGCCAAUGACGGAGUUAUUGAAGAAGGAUACCAAAUUUAAAUGGACGGAAGAAUGUGAGGCAAGUUUUCAGGAGUUAAAGAAACGUUUGACUACAGCCCCAGUGCUGAUUCUGCCGGAUAUACGCAAGGAUUUCCAAGUGUAUUGCGACGCCUCUCGCCUAGGACUUGGAAGUGUGCUUAUGCAGGACGGAAGAGUUGUUUCGUAUGCCUCACGACAACUAAAACCGCAUGAAUUGAAUUAUGCCACGCAUGAUUUGGAGUUAGCAGUUGUAGUGCAUGCGCUCAAGACUUGGAGACAUUACCUUAUUGGAAACCGUUGUGAUGUGUACACGGAUCAUAAGAGUUUGAAGUACAUUUUCACACAGAAGGAGCUGAACCUUAGGCAGAGGAGAUGGUUGGAGCUUAUAAAGGAUUAUGACAUGAAGCUUCACUAUCAUCCAGGCAAGGCCAAUGUCAUAGCAGAUGCUUUGAGUCAGAAGAAUUAUGCUAACACGCUAGUAAGCACGGGAUUGCCAAAGGAGUUAGCAGAGGAUCUCAGGGAACUUCAAUUGGAGAUUGUUCCUAGAGGUUUUGUUGCAACAAUGGAGAUUCAGUCUACAUUGGUAGGAAAGAUUCGAGAAGCUCAGAAGGAUGACAAAGAGAUUGCCGAGAUAAAAGAGAGAAUGAGCAAAUGAAAGGCCAAAGGUUUUCGUGAGGAUGAGCACAACACCUUAUGGUUUGAGGACCGUGUUUAUGUGCCCAAUAACACAAAGAUCAGGAAGUUAAUACUUCAGGAGGCUCAUGACUCACCAUACUCGAUACACCCCGGAAACACCAAGAUGUAUUUGGAUUUGAAGGAACGUUUCUGGUGGACUGGUAUGAAGAAGGAUAUUGCCGAGUAUGUAGCCGUAUGUGAUGUAUGUCAGAGAGUAAAGGCAGAGCAUCAAAAGCCAGCAGGAUUGUUACAGCCUAUGCCGAUACCCGAAUGGAAGUGGGAUAAACUUGGCACAGAUUUUAUCACCAGAUUGCCCAGGACCAAAUCUGGAUAUGAUUCUAUAUGGGUAGUAGUUGAUCGAUUGACCAAAGUGGCUCACUUUAUCCCAGUGAAAACCACCUAUACAAGUGCGAAGUUGGCCAAGAUAUACAUGACCAGGAUUGUAUGUCUGCAUGGAGUUCCGAUGACCAUCGUAUCAGAUAGAGGAACACAGUUUACUUCCAAGUUUUGGCAUCAGCUGCACCAGACCUUGGGUACAAGGCUGGAGUUCAGUGCAGCUUUUCACCCGCAGACAGAUGGACAGACCAAAAAAGUCAACCAGAUUCUGGAGGAUAUGUUGAGAGCUUGUGCGCUAGAUUAUGGAUCUAGUUGGGAUGACAAUUUGCCCUAAGCAGAGUUCCCAUACAACAAUAGCUACCAGGCCAGUUUGAAGAUGGCAUCGUUCGAAGCCCUGUAUGGACGAAGGUGCAGAACACCGUUGAUGUGGGAUGAAGUUGGAGAUCGACAGUUGUUUGGAACAGAUUUGAUCAAGGAGUUUGAAGAGAAGGUUAAGUUGAUUCGCGAUAGACUAAAGGUAGCUCAGUCCAAGCAGAAGAGUUAUGCAGAUUCGAAAUACAAGGAGGUAACCUAUGAAAUUGGAUACAGAGCAUAUCUGCGAGUGUCACCUCUGCGAGGAGUGAAACGUUUUGGAGUUAAGGGAAAGUUAGCCCCGAGAUUUGUAGGACCGUAUCGUGUUUUGGAACGUAUGGGAGAAGUUGCCUACAAGUUGGAGUUACCUGAAGGAUUGUCAGGAGUUCAUGAUGUGUUUCAUGUUCCAAAGUUGAAGAAGUGUCAUGCUGAGAUGGCCGAUAUACCACUAAGAGAUACAGUGCCCUUGGAAGCAAUUUAGUUGGACAGUGAUCUGACCUAUGAGGAGAAGCCAGUCAGGAUUCUUGAAUUUGCCAGCCGAGUCACCCGCAGCAAGGUUAUCAAGUUUUGCAAAGUUCAGUGGAGCCACCAUACCGAGGAUGAAGCCACCUGGGAACGAGAGGAUGAUCGUCGCAAAGACCACCCACACCUAUUUUCUAGCCAACCCGAAUCUCGAGGGCGAGAUUCAUCUUAAGGGGGUAGGUUUGUAACAUCCCAAAUUUUCAAUUUGGAAUGUUAUACAUAGAUCAUUCAUGCAUAUCAUAUCCUUGUUGCAUUUUGUUUCGCGAUCCUCGAAAUCCUAAGCAACUCAAGGACCCUCGGAGGGAGUUGGGGAUUUCACUGUUUUCAGAUUUGAAUCUUAUCAAAUAUUGAAACGAGGAUUAUUUGUUUUAAUUAUUUUUCUCUCCGAAAAUAUUUCAUAUUAAAAUAUAUAAGAGGAGAUAAUAUGACUUCUCCAAAAUAAAUGAAAUAUUGGAGGAAAAAAUAUUAAAAUCAAAUAUUUGAUUUUAUUCAGAUUUUAUUGCUAUUUUAUUUGCAUUAGAAAAAAUGGCAUGUUUUCAAAAUGGCAUUUUCGGGCCAAGAAAAUGUUCAUCAUGUUCUAAAUAUUUUAUUUAGAAGGCGAAAAUUAGUUUUGGCAUUUUUAAGUAUUUAUUUAUUUUUCUAGGAUUUAUUUUCAUCGGAAUCUGUUAAAAAAAACCCCGCCGGACCGAACUGGGCCGAGGCCCAGCUGGCCCAGCCGCCCCGCGCCGCCGUCUCCCUCGCGGAGACCGCGACCACAACGCCGCCGUCGCCGUGGCCGAGUCGGCCACGUCCCCUGCCCCCUCCCGCAAGCCACCGCCACCCCCCUUUAAAAGCCGACCCGAGGCCCCCCUCGAGCCCCAAGCGGGAGCCGCCGCCGUCGCGAGCCACCCCGCGCUGCCCCGCCUCGCCGCGCCGUCGCGGAAGCUGCCGGAGCCACUGCCGAUCCGAUCCGAUCUCGCCGUUCGGUUUUUUUUCAGUUUAGGUAAAAACCGUCGGUUUUUUAUAAAACGCUAGUUUUGUUUUUUUUCUAGAUCGGUUCACCGAUUUCUCGGUUUAGUUAUUUAGCGGACGUUCAUCCAUACGUUCGUUUUAACGAACGGUUUUCGCUCGUUAGUUACAGACAACGAACGUUCGUUCAUUAGCUUGUUCGUCAGUUUUUCUUUUCCUCGGGUUUUUCGCGAUUAUUUACGAUCGUGAUUUCUGAUCCGAUUUUCGUUUCAGUUUAUCUUUUCGAUCGUUUAUCGGAAUCAGGCGAUUCAAGCGCCUAGAUCUUCAUCUCGAAACCCUCUUUCUGUUUAACCAACUUGAACAAGAUUUUGGUACUGUAAAAUUUUACUUUAGUUCAGAUUAGUAAACGGAUCUUGUUUCUCUUGCAGUUUGGGUUUCGUUGCUCCGUUUGAUUUGAUUCUUUUUGCAAACCGGAGUUCUUAAGUUGAACUUUCUGGUCGAUUCUUCUUAUUUGAGUUUUGCCCGUGCAUCUGUGAUUGAUUGCUUAUGUAUGCUAUUGUUAGCUUGCGAUGGAAUUCCCGGAGUGCGAAGCGUGCUACUACGAGUCCCUAGGUUUUGCGGAUCGUCAGCAACGCAAGUAACACAUUGAUCAUACUCUUUUCAUACCCAGUUUUAUGCAUCAGCUCCAAUCCUCAAACACUGCGUGGAUGUGAUUAACUUGUGGGUAUUGGGAAGUAGUUGAUGAGGUAGAACCGAUUGCCCUGUUAUAUUCAAACCCUUGGGAGUUACUUCUACGUAUUGCUUAUAUUGCUAUGCUAUGCUCGUAGACGUAGUUUGGGUGAGUGAAUCCAUGACAGAUGUGAGAUUGUUAAUUAAUGGUUCAACUUAAGGUGGCAACUUAAAUGCAUAUCUUGGUGGAUUUCUUGCCGGGCACCAGGAGAAUCCAGUGUUGUCCUAGGAUAUCCCGGAGUACCCGUGUGAUCAUCCUAAGGUCCGCCACCCAGGCUCAAAGGGAACUGAGAUAUUUCAUGCUAGAAACUUCCGUGUGCAGCCACAAGCUAUUAUGGGCUCUAGCAUAGUUGAGUCAGUUGCGUGAGCUCUUGAAGAGGUGGACUAGCAGAUGUAGAGGGAUGUAGGUUGGUAUAGUCUACCCGGAGUAAAGAGUUAAUGUUUCUGAAAGACUGUGUCUCGGUCAUCCGUCUCUCAAACACCAUGUAGUGCGAGAAAUCCAGCGGAGGAGAUCGAGUCUUGUGGGGAAAAGUGCGCAAACCUCUGCAGAGUGUACAAUCUAAUCAUGGUUAGCUGUGUCCCCGGUUAUGUACGUCUUGAGUAUCUAGUACUUGGAUUAUCCUAAGUAUCUCAUCACUCUAAUUUAAUAUUGGUGGCUUGAUAAUUACUUUUAAUUGGGAUUGAGUUGGAGGAACCUUCUCAAUGAUGUUUCAACUACCAUGAUAGUUAAAUUAAAACUUAUUCCUUUGUUGUAGGGAAAAAUUGGCUUUUCGCAAAACUAUAACCAUAGAGCUUUCCACCAGCCAAAUAUGCAUCUAGUGGUAGAAUUAUUUCUGUUCUUGCUCUACCGUGUUACAUUGCCAGCAUAUUCCAUGUGCUGACCCGUUUUCGGGCUGCAACGUAUUAUGUUGCAGACUUUUCAGACGAGGAGUAAGUUUCGUUAGGUCGUUGCCGUGCAGCUCAGCUAUGUCGUUGGAGUUUAUGGACUCACGUUAUCUUCCAAGUCUUCCGUUGUUAUCGUAUUAAAUGUCCUUAAGCCAUAUUUAUUGUAAUAAGUUCUCUUCUGAGACAUUCGAUGUAAUAAGUGUGUGAUUGCUACUCUGUUAUAAAUCCUUCGAGUACUGUGUGUGUCAGCAUUACCGAUCCAGGGAUGACACUGAAGCACAGAGACUUGACCGUUUGAGGUCGGGUUGCUACAGUUAAUGAAGGUAUUGUCUUGGGCCAUAAAAUUUCCGAACAAGGUAUUGAGGUGGAUAAAGCUAAAGUUGAUGCAAUCAAGAAAAUGACAUGUCCUAUAGAUAUUAAAGGUAUUUGUAGUUUCCUUGGUCAUGCUAGUUUCUAUAGGAGAUUUAUUAAAGACUUCUCUAAAAGUUUUAGGUCUCUUACAAAUCUUUGAAACACUUAAUAAAGCCUUAAUUUCUGCACCUAUUGUUCAACCACCUGAUUGGAACUUGCCUUUUGAAAUCAUGUGUGAUGCUAGUGAUUAUGUUGUUGGUGCUGUUCUAGGACAAGAGUUGAUAAGAAAUUAAAUUUUAUCUAUUAUGCUAGUAAACCUCUAGACAUUGCCCAAAGAAAUUAUGCUACUAGUGAAAAAGAAUUUUUAGAAGUUGUGUUUGCUUGUGAUAAAUUCAGAUCCUACAUUGGCGAUCCCAAAGUAAUUGUUCACACUAAUCAUGCUGCUAUUAAAUAUCUUACGGGAAAGAAAGAUGCUAAACUUAGACUCAUUAGAUGGGUUCUCCUACUACAAGAAUUUGAUCUACAUAUCACUAAUAGAAAGGGAGCUGAGAACCCCAUAGCUGAUAACUUGUCUAGGUUAGAAAAUAUUCUUGAUGACCCACUACCUAUUAAUGAUAUAUAGCUUCCCUCAUGAACAACUAGCUGCAAUAAAUGUUUCUCAAAAUACUACUUGGUAUGCUAACUAUGCUAAUUAUAUUGUUGCUAAAUACAUACCACCUAGUUUCACAUACCAACUAAAGAAAAAAUUGAUUUAAGACAUUACUUUUGGAUGACCCACAUCUUUAUAAAGAAGGAGUAGAUGGUAUUAUUAGACAUUUUGUACCUGAGCACGAACAGGAACAAAUCCUACGAAAAUGUCACUCCAGAGCUUAUGGAGGGCAUCAUGCAGGAGAUAGAACUGCUCACAAGGUAUUGCAAUCUGGUUUUUAUUGGCCUACUCUCUUCAAAGAUGCCCGUAAGUUUGUUUUAUCUUGUGAUGAAUGUCAACGAAUUGGUAAUAUCGGUAAGCGUCAAGAAAUGCCUAUGAAUUAUUCACUUGCUGUUGAACCAUUUGAUGUUUGGGGUUUCGAUUAUAUGGGACAUUUCCUUCCUCUGAUGGGUAUAGUCGUAUUUUGGUUGUUGUUGAUUAUGUUACUAAGUGGGUAGAAGCUAUUCCAACUAGUAGUGCUGAUCACAACACUUCCAUUAAAAUGCUUAAAGAAGUUAUUUUUCCCAAGGUUUGGAGUCCCUAGAUAUUUAAUGACUAAUGGUGGCACUACACCACGACACUGCAUUCCCUACGGACGUGUGUUGGCAAAAGUCUUUUUCGUGGACCGACUGUUGGUUGGGAAAACUUCUAUCGAACCGUUGGUCGGUAAUACUCAUGUGUAACGACCAACUGUCGGUCGGAAAUGCUGAAAUGUAUAGCAUCAAACUGUCGGUCGGUAAAAACUGCGCUACCAUCCAACUGUUGGUCAGAAAAUAAUGCCGACCGACCGUGGGUCGCCAACUCGGCCGCCCAAAAUAUCCCCCCCCCCCCACGUGCGUGCUUGGCAAACUUAGCACGCGAGCAAUCCGAAUUUUUGCCUCUUGCCCCCAUAGGCCGCAGCCCACCCAAUCCCACCCGUCCCCCUUAUCUCUUUCUCUCCAGAUCUGAGCGGCGGCUCCCAUCGCCUUCCUCCACUUCUCUUCCUCAGAUCGAGCUCCGCCUAGAUGUAGAGGAAGGUCUCGCCGCCCCGAUGUGGAGGAAGGCCUCAUCACCCCGUCGAUUUGCACACAUGAAGCAAGCGAGCUCCACCCCGAAGUGGAGGAAAUGGUACGCGGCCGUCGGUCUGUGCGCGUCUAGCCAUCGAGAUGGAGGGCGCGCCCCUCUCGCGUGCAUCCUCAGCAUGGUGCGCUAGCAGCCCACACGGCAUAGAUCUGCCAUCCCUUCGUCCGUCCCACGCGCCGGGCACCGGUGGCUACCGCACUGUUUUGUUCAUCCCCCGACCGCCGCACGCGACGGCCCACACUGCCAUGUUGUUUUGUUGCAGCCAGACCGCCGCCCCUGCCCUCGCGCUCCAGGUAGAGGCUCGUUCUGGUCGUUCACUCUUGGCGACUACGCGUCCCACCCGGUGGUGGCGCUCUGCCCACUGCGUCACCUUUCUCCUAGCGGCUGCGCCGUUCGACCCGUACCUCUAACCAGUGAGUCCUUCCCGUUUGCUUCAAAUUUUGAUGUGCAACUGUAGGCAUGUCUUGUUUAUCUUAAUUCCCUCAGAUCCCUGUUCAUCAGUUUGCAGUAGAACCACUCAUCUUCCUAGACCCUCAUUAAAAUAAUUUCUAUUACUAGAUCAUAGUUGUUUGAUUAUUGGCAAACAAUCAAUUUUACCUAUCCUUUUUAAAUCCACAGAUUGAUUCGGCAACACAGAGAGGAAGCUGUAAAGAAGCGUGAUGAGGAAAAAAUGUCGGUACAUCUCUAAACUUUGUAAUAUUUGGUACAGGAUGACUAAUCUAAUAUUGCCAACAUACUCGUAUAUGUUUGUUGUCCUUGACAUGGAUGCUAAUGAAACCCUUUUUCAUUCAGUUUGGAGUUGGUUUGGAUUAUUUCUGCAAAAGAAUUUUGUCUGAAUGUCGUAAAGAACAGUUGGUCAUGAGUCAUAUGGGUUACAGUGCAUCAUAUGUACUCUGCCCCUACACAAUAUACACCCCAUUACUUAUUUCCAUGGUAUAAGUCUAGAAAUAUGUCGUAAAGAUUCAAUCAAGUAUGAUUCCAAGUAUAUUUGCAGUUUUUACAUAGUGUAUUGCAUGUGAAUUGUGGUUAAUACUGUCAAACCAUGGAAAUUUAAAUGUAUAGUGAUGGAUUAAACGAAUGGAACCUAUAUCCUGGCUUGCCACUACUAUAUUGUUGCUUCUAAAACACUUGUAUGCACAGAUAGUUUCUCUUGGUUAUCACAAGCGAACAUUCAUGAGAUAAAUUUCAUGCAGUUUUUUAGUGGGGAGGGAUAGCUUCAAGAUAUUCCAUUUAAAGAGAUGAUAUCUAUUUGAAAUUAAUUUAUGUGCAUACACCCUCGAUCCUAACAGUAUUUGUGUACUGUACAUAGAAAUCUUCUCAGUUUCUGAAUCCCUGAGCAGUAGCAAGUCAGGUGCUUAAUGGUGAUCCUACCUUGCACAUGUCAUAAGCAAGUUAAUUCAAAAAAGGUAAUUGUUAAUUUGCCUACAUCCUUCCCGCAAUUGCCACAACUCAUCUUGCAUAAGUGUUCCUAUAAGUUGGUAUAAAGUUUUGACCAUGGAUGAACUUCAUACGGAUAACACAGUAGUUUGUGCAAAACCAUAUUGCAUUUUCUCGUAUAAUAUGAAAACAUCAAAAUUAACCAUAGAAGUGAAAUAUCUUCUAACACUGUCCACAUGUUCCUUUGUCAGUUUGGAUCAUAACAAGUUGAACUAUCAGAAGCACAUGGUCUUCUAGCCCCAACAGGCCGAUACCCAUGGGACAGCCACAACCCACAUCGUUUUAGCACCUUACCCUGACAAUUUUUGCGGGCUUGGAUGUGGGCACCACGGGCAUCCACUUGUAGUCUGAGUUGCUACUGCUUAGUGCAGUGAGAUCAGAGGAUGGUCAUCAAUUUAAUCUAAUCUGUGGCGCUGAAGUACAAAUGCUUUUCUCCCAUGCUUUUAUAAAUAUAAUAGUCAGGUGCAGUCUAAGUUCAGAUGCUUUUUGUUUAGUAGUUUGCAGGUCCUCAUGUGCUUAGUACUGCAUUUAGAAAUGAUUGCGAAUAGAUUCGUCUUGAAAUUCAUUUAUGACAUAGGGAAAGUAUGUAUAACCUCCUGAUGUAAGUGGGUCUUUGACAAUGCUUUUCCCAGGCCAUGCUGCACUCAUCAUUGAAACUCCUAGCUGUGUAUUAGAUAGUAAUCAUUUUGCCUAUUGUAUUGCCGUCUAGUGCAGCAAAGUGUGGUCUUUUCCCACCCCAGAGAAGAAAAAGAAAGAAAACUAGUGCAGUAUUUUAUUCAAAAAUGACUUUCCUGUGUUUGCUUGUGGAUGUGUUGCUCCCAAUAAUUGGGUGUUUGGACAUGCGAAAUUGUUGCCUUGUGACCAGACGAUGCAUUAUGCUCCUUUUCCAUUUAAUAUACUUCCUGGUCUGCGGCUUGAGGAGAUUGAUACAGGCUAUAUGGUGGGUCUGUGUGGCAUUGAUGCUUUAUUAUGUCUUAACACAUCACAGAUUCUAAUUAGAACAUGCUGUGGCAUUAUUCUGAACAUGCCCUGUUUUUACAAUACUAAAAUCCCAGUUUGUUUUCGCUAUUGACGCUUUAUACAAUUAUUAUUUUUGCCGUUAUAUCUAUGAAUGCAUGAAUUCACCGGUGACUUUUUCAUCCUUUGUAGGAAUGACAUACAAGAGGACCAGGGAGGAACCAUGAAGAUGGCAGUUUGCGUCAGCUAUAUAUUUUGUGUAAUGGAGCAAAAACAAUGUGUCUUUUAGUUAUCAUUUUGUAAACCUAUAUGGUGUCUUGUCAAUUGGUUAUUAUGUGUAAUGGAGCAAACAAUGAAUUUCGAACAUGCAUAUAUCAUUUUGUAAACCUAUCAUGUGUCUCGGAGGCUGAAACAUAAAGGUUUCCUCCUUUCAGUUAGUUACCUAUAUUCUUCUUUGGUUCUGGUUUAAUAUUGAUUAAUAUUGAUUGGCAAGUUACUGUAACUUGAUUGAUUUUGUGUUGUAAUGAGAAAUACAACUUGAUUGAUAUUGUUUGGCAAGGGAUAAGCCAAAUAAGAGGUGGGUAUUAAAUAUAUCUUGCUUGGCUAAACAAAAUGCUAUCGAACUGUUGGUCGGCAAAAGUUAACAACGUAAUACUGUUGGUCGGGAAAGUUUUAUGGCAGGGCCGAGAGAAAGUCGGUUGGAAAAUGUACUAUCAUCGGAUUGUCGGUCGGGAAAGGUUCAUAGCAGGGCCAACAGAAAGUCGGUCGGUAAUUCUUUCCUUAGCCGUCAAACAGUCGGUCGGGACAAGGCUUUCCCGUCUGGACUUUCCCCAACACACAAGGUCGGUCGGCAAUAGUCUUUCCCGACCGAUUGUCUGUCAGUGGACGUUGUUUUUCCGACCAACGUGUCUGUUGGGGAUGUAGUGUUGUGGUGUAGUGUGGUUCACGCUUUAUUCAUGGUGCUUUCCAUAAAAUGCUUGCUAAAUAUGAUGUUAACCAUAGAAUUGCAUCACCCUAUCACCCUCAAUCUAGUGGUCAAGUUGAACUUAGCAAUAGAGAAAUAAAGUUGAUAUUAAAAAAAUUGUUAAUAGGUCCCGAAAGAAUUGGUCUAAGAAAUUAGAUGAUGCACUUGGGGCUUACAGAACAUCAUAUAAAAAUACUAUGGGUAUGUCUCCUUACAAAAUGGUUUAUGGAAAAGCUUGUCAUUUGCCUCUAGAGUUAGAACAUAAAGCAUAUUGGGCAAUUAAAUAACUCAACUAUGAUUUCAAACUUACCGGUGAAAAGAGGUUAUUUGAUAUUAGCUCACUAGAUGAAUGCAGAACCCAAGCCUAUGAAAAUGCCAAACUGUUUAAGGAAAAGUUAAAACAUGGAAGGCAAAAGAAUUCGAAAGCAGGAAUUCAAAGUUGGUGAAUAUAUUCUUUUGUACAACUCUCGUUUCAGAUUCUUUGGAGCUAUCAAGAAUAAUAAUGCCGAAGGUACUAACCGAAAUGUGGUGAAUGGUCAAACAAUUAAACACUAUAUCUCAGGUACGCCUAUUAAUGUUGAAAGCAAUAUUAUCCAAACCAUGACACCGGAGCAACACAUAAUAGAAACCUCUCGGAACACUCCAGAAUAACCAAAAAAUAGGAGGUACACGAUAGGUGAUACGUCUCUGUCGUAUCUACUUUUCCAAACACUUUUGCCCUUGUUUUGGACUCUAACUUGCAUGAUUUGAAUGGAACUAACCCGGACUGAUGCUGUUUUCAGCAGAAUUGCCAUGGUGUUAUCUUUGUGCAGAAACAAAAGUUCUCAGAAUGACCUGAAACUUCACGGAGAAUAUUUUUGGAAAUAAUAAAAAAGAUACUGGCGAAAGAAUCAAGACCAGGGGGCCCACACCCUAUCCACGAGGGUGGGAGGCACGCCUGCCCCCCUGGGCGCGCCCCCUGCCUCGUGGGCCCCGUGGAACUCCACCGACCUCAACUCCAACUCCAUAUAUUCACGUUCGAGGAGAAAAAAUCAGAGAGAAGGAUUCAUCACGUUUUACGACACGGGGCCGCCGCCAAGCCCUAAACUCUCUCGGAAGGGCUGAUCUGGAGUCCAUUCGGGGCUCCGGAGAGGGGAAUCCGUCGCCGUCGUCAUCAUCAACCAUCCUCCAUCACCAAUUUCAUGAUGCUCACCACCGUGCGUGAGUAAUUCCAUCGUAGGCUUGCUGGAUGGUGAUGGGUUGGAUGAGAUUUAUCAUGUAAUCGAGUUAGUUUUGUUAGGGUUUGAUCCCUAGUAUCCACUGUGUUCUGAGAUUGAUGUUGCUAUGACUUUUCUAUGCUUAAUGCUUGUCACUAGGGCCCGAGUGCCAUGAUUUCAGAUCUGAACCUAUUAUGUUUUCAUGGAUAUAUGUGAGUUCCUGAUCCUAUCUUGCAAGUCAAUAGUCACCUACUAUGCGUUAUGAACCGGCAACCCCGAAGUGACAAUAAUCGGGACCACUCCCAGUGAUGACCGUAGUUUGAGGAGUUCAUGUAUUCACUAUGUGUUAAUGCUUUGGUCUGGUACUCUAUUAAAAGGAGGCCUUAAUAUCCCUUAGUUUCCAAUAGGACCCCGCUGCCACGGGAGGGUAGGACAAAAGAUGUCAUGCAAGUUCUUUUCCAUAAGCACGUACGACUAUAUUCGGAAUACAAGCCUACAUUACAUUGAUGAAUUGGAGCUAGUUAUGUGUCACCCUAUGUUAUAACUAUUACAUGAUGAACCGCGUCCGGCAUAAUUAUCCAUCACCGAUCCAAUGCCUACGAGCUUUUCACAUACUGUCCUUUGCUUAGUUACUUUUCCAUUGCCACUGUCACAAUUACUACAAAGCUGCUACUGUUACCUUUGCCACUGCUACCGUUACUACUUUGCUACUAAAUACUUUGCUGCAGAUACUAAGUUAUCCAGGUGUGGUUGAAUUCACAACUCAACUGCUAAUACCCGAGAAUAUUCUUUGGCUCCCCAUGUGUCGAAUCAAUAAAUUUAGGUUGAAUACUCUACCCUCAAAAACUGUUGCGAUCCCCUAUACUUGUGGGUUAUCAAGACUAUUUUCUGGCGCCGUUGGCGGGGAGAAUAGCUCUAUUCUUUAAGCCACUUGGGAUUUAUAUCUGCUGAUCAAUAUGAGGAACUUGAAAGAUGAGAAAACCAAGAUUUAUCCCUCAACUACGAGGGGAGGUAAGGAACUGCCAUCUAGCUCUGCACUUGAUUCUCCUUCUGUUUUGAGUAAACUUGCGACACCUAAACCUGCUUCUGCUAUUAAUUCUGAUAUGUCGCAUGUUAUUCAUGUUGCCACUUCUGCUAUGCAUGAUACUUAUGAUGAAACUACUUCUAUGCUUGAUAACACUAUGCCACUAGGUGAAUUUCUUGAUGAACAACUUGCUAGGGCUAGAGAGAAUGAAAUUAUUGAAACUAAUAAUAUUGAUGAAAGUGAUGAUGAAGAUUCUCCCCCUAAAUAUGAGUUGCGUGUUGUGCCUGAGGGUUAUGUUAUGGAGGAAGAAACUGCUAGAUAUUUUCUUGCUUGCAACGAUACAUCUGAUCUUAAGAAAUUAUUAGCUAAGCUUAAAGAAAAGUCUCUGAAUGCUAGAAUGAAAUAUGACCCUGCUUAUGCUACUUCACCUAUCUUUCUUACUGAUAAGGAUUAUGAUUUCUCUGUCGAUCCUGAGAUAAUUACUUUGGUUGAAUUUGAUCUUUUUACGGCUAUGAAUCUGAAACUGUUGUGGCACAUCUUACUAAAUUAAAUGAUAUAGCCACCCUAUUCACUAAUGAUGAGAAAACUCGCUACUACUAUAUCCUUAAAUUGUUUCCGUUCUCAUUAAAGGGUGAUGCUAAGACAUGGUUUAAUUCUCUUGAUCCUGGUUGUGUGCAUAGUCCCCAGGAUAUGAUUUAUUACUUCUCUGCUAAAUAUUUCCCCUCUCAUAAGAAACAAGCUGCUUUAAGGGAAAUAUAUAAUUUUGUGCAAAUUGAAGAAGAGAGUCUCCCACAAGCUUGGGGGAGGCUUCUCCAAUUACUUAAUGCUUUGCCUGAUCAUCCUCUCAAGAAAAAUGAAAUACUUGAUAUCUUUUAUAAUGGACUAACCGAUGCUUCCAGAGACCACCUGGAUAGUUGUGCUGGUUGUGUUUUCAGGAAAAGAACAAUUGAUCAAGCUGAAUUGCUAUUGAAUAAUAUGUUGACUAAUGAAAACAAUUGGACGGUUCCUGAACCAACUCCUAAGCCAACUCCGAAGUAAAGGGGUAUUCUAUUUCUCAGUCCUGAAGAUAUGCAAGAGGCAAAGAAAUCUAUGAACGAAAAAGGUAGUAAAGCUGAAGAUGUUAAGAAUUUACCACCUAUUGAAGAAAUACAUGGUCUUGAUAACCCGAUACAGGUAGUAAAGGUAAAUUCUCUCUAUAGAUUUGAUGAAGGUGAUAUUCCUCGUUAUAAGACUGCUAGCAAGUGCUUAGAUGAGUUUGACAAUUUUAUGGUUAAGCAAGAAAACUUCAAUGCUUAUUUUGGUAGAGAAUUGCAACGCAAUGCUUAUAUGAUUGAACGCUUGAGUGAUUAUAUGUCUAGAGUUAAAGGUGAACUUAAAAUCAUUAGUAAACAUUCUUCUAUGGUUACCACUCAAGUAGAACAAGUACUUAAGGCUCAGAAUGAUUUGCUCAAUGAAUUAAAUAGUAAGAACAAUGAUUUUGCUGUUAGAGUUGCAACUAGAACGGGUAAAAGGACUCAGGAACCUUUGUAUCCUGAGGGCCACCCUAAGAGAAUUGAGCAAGAUUCUCAGAGAACUAAUGUUGAUGCACCUAGUCCUUCUAAGAAGAAGAAAAAGAAAAAUGAUAGGACUUUGCAUGCUUCUAGUGAACCUGUUGCUGACACACCUGAGAAUCCCAAUGAUAUUUCUAUUUCUGAUGCUGAAACACAAUCUGGUAAUGAACAUGAACCUAGUGAUAAUGUUAAUGAUGAUGUUCAUGUUGAUACUCAACCUAGUAAUAACAAUGAUGUAGAAAUUGAACCUGCUGUUGAUCUUGAUAACCCACAAUCAAAAUAUCAAUGUUAUGAUAAGAGAGACUUUGUUGCUAGGAAGCACGGUAAAGAAUGAGAACCAUGGGUUCAGAAACCCAUGCCUUUUCCUCCUAAACCAUCCAAGAAAAAGGAUGAUGAGGAUUUUGAGCGCUUUGCUGAAAUGAUUAGACCUAUCUUUUUGCGUAUGCGUUUGACUGAUAUGCUUAAAAUGAAUCCUUAUGCUAAGUAUAUGAAAGAAAUUGUUACAAAUAAGAGAAAGAUACCUGAUGCUGAAAUUUCCACCAUGCUUGCUAAUUAUACUUUUAAAGGUGGAAUACCAAAGAAACUAGGAGAUCCAGGAGUACCAACUAUACCAUGCUCCAUUAAAGGAACUAUGUUAAAACUGCUUUAUGUGAUCUUGGAGCGGGUGUUAGUGUUAUGCCUCUCUCUUUAUAUCGUAGACUUGAUUUGAAUAAGUUGACACCUACUGAAAUAUCUUUGCAAAUGGCCGAUAAAUCAGCUGCUAUACCUGUCGGCAUUUGUGAGGAUGUGCCUGUUGUGGUUGCAAAUGUUACUAUUUUAACGGACUUUGUUAUUCUUGAUAUUCCCGAGGACGCUAGUAUGUCGAUUAUCCUUGGUAGACCCUUUUUGAAUACUGCAGGGGCUGUUAUUGAUUGCAACAAAGGCAAUGUCACUUUUCAUGUUAAUGGUAAUGAGCAUACGAUACACUUUCCGAGGAAACAGCCUCACGUCCACAGUAUCAAUUCUAUUGGAAAAAUUCCAACUAUCACUAUUGGAGGUUUUGAAUUUCCUCUUCCUACUGUCAAGAAGAAAUAUGAUAUUCUUAUUGUUGGGGACGUACAUAUCCCCGUUGAGGUAACCUAGUGCUAUUCGAAAAUUCUCCGGUCUCAUGUUAUUCGGAAUGAGUUUGUUAACAAGACUUGAUCAACCUUGUUAGCGGAUUCCUUUUGAUGAGCAUGAGAUGGAUGAAGUUAGAAAGCACAACUCUCUGUACCCUCAUUUUACUUUCUGUUAUUUAGAAUAAAUAAAGCAAAAAUAGUAUUUUCUAUCUGUUUUCUGAAUUAUCCGUGCAAUAAAAAAUACCCCGAAAAUAAAAAUUCUCCAAAUGCCCCGAAAAUGAAAUAUGAUUGUUUCUAGAAUAUUUGAGAAUAUCUGGCACUGAGAACACAUCGGGGGGAGCAAGCACCUGGCCACGAGGGUCCAGGGCGCGCCCACCCCCCUGGGCGCGCCCCCUGCCUCAUGGGCCCCUGGUGACUCCCCUUCACUUAUUCGUGCACCCACACACCCCUUCUUCCUCCCAAAAAUAUCACCAACCAGCUCAAGAACGAGUUCUAGCUCAUUUUUGUUGCGAUUUUCGAUCUCCUUGCUCAAAGCUCCAUUCACAAAACUGAUUUGGGGGAUUGCUCUUUGGUAUGUGACUCCUCCAAUGGCCCAAUUAGUUUUUGUUCUAGUGCUUUAUUCAUUGCAAAUUUUUGCUGCUUAGGUGACCCCGUUCUUGAGCUUGCAUGUCAAAUUUAUUUGGCCCCAAGUAGUUCUAAUGCAUGAUAUAGUCUCUAGGCACUUCUGGGAAUAGUUGCUAUCAAUCUUCUUGAGUUUAGUUCACUUUUAUUUUGAAGUUACUAAAAAAUUUCAGAAAAUGAUGAAGAGAUUUUUGAGGGGCUCUUCGAGCCGAAGCUCGAAGGAUAAGCAAAGUGAAGAAGAUAAGAGGCCCAAAUAUAAUCUUCCUCGCACUGCGGAGGUUCGGCCGUGUGAAUGGCCUUGUGAUGAGUUCUUGAAAGCAGCCGAGAUUUAUGAUGAUUUUUAUGAGUUGGCUGAGAAUGCAGGCCUCACCGACUUCCUCCACGACCAACGCAAACAGUAUCUCCUACUCACUAAUAUCUUUGUGCAAAAUUUUCAUUUCCAUGCUAAGAGGUCACCACCUUCGGUGGAUUUUUAUUUAUAUGAUGAGUAUAAGGAGAUGUCCCUUUAUGAAUUUUGUGAGGUUUGCAAGUUGCCCUUUUCGGGCAGCGUAGAGGAACCACAUCAUAACGAUGUGGAGGGGUUUAUUGAUACAAUUGCUGUAGGGGAAACGAGGAAGGUUUCCGAUGCAAGAAUUACCAGCAUACACUUUCCUGUUCUACGUUACUUUGCAAUAUUUGCUAGUAGAUGCUUAAUUGGUCGCGGAAAUUGUGGCAACCUUAGUGCCCCUGAUAUUGUUAUUUUGGGCCAUGCCUUGUUCCGCGAUGACACAUUUAGUAUGGGCGCUAUUAUUGCAAAGCGGUUAAAUCUUAACCGUACGAAGGGCCCCAUCUUGGGAGGUAUCUUCGCCUCGCGCCCCGCUGCACAUUUUAACAUACCUAUUAGGCAUUAUGAGAAAGAAGAAAAGUUGCUGCCUCCUGUUUUUCUAAACUAUAAGAGUAUGGUAGCACAUGAUUUUAUCGUUAAGAAUAAGGAAAAGAUGCUUAAGUACAAGCUGGUAUUUGAUAAAAAUCACGCUGAGAUUAUUACUCUGCCUGCUCCUUCCUUGUUUGACUUAUCUGCAGGCAAGUACCUUGUUCCGCCGGAGGCCAUUCAUGCCUACAAAAACCCCACACCAGCUACAGAGCCAGAGCCGGAACCACAAUUUGAUCCUUCACGACAAUCUGUUUACCAGUGGGAUCCGGAGGAGAUUGCCAACCAGUGGCAACCCGAGGUUCCUUCUCAGUACGACCCCAGUUACAACUUCGGAUAUCCGCCAGGCCAUCCAUGGGCAUACACCGACUUAGGCCAAAAGCCUAAGCUUGGGGGAGUACGUAUUUCUCACCGACAUUACAUUCAUUUUCACACACUCAUUCCAGUUGUUGGUGCUCAUCAUACUUUUUCAUUGUACUAUCCAUGCUAGUUUAUUUAUCUUUUUCUAGUUUUCUUCUUGUAUGUUUGAAAAACCUUAAGAAAAACCGAAAAAAAACUAGUUGUAGCUUUUAGCUAGUUUACCUUUCAUGCUUGUAGUAGUAGUAAUUAAAAGAAAACCCAAAAAGAUUUCUCGUUCUUCUUUUGCUUGUUGGGAGCUUUCCCGUGUAAAUAGUUUUAUUUCUUUUCUUUUCUUUGGGGGUCGAAAGGAGAAGACCAUGAUGAAAAUGCUGAAGUGUCUCUUAUAUGCAUUAUUGUUGAUUUAACCAAGAGCCCAUAUUACCUUAUCUUCUCCUCUAUAUUAAAUGCUUGCAGAUUCCAGCUUAGUCCAAUGCACAUGCACUAUUAUUAUUUUACACACCGUUCGGUCGUGCAAGUGAAAGGCAACAAUGAUGAUAUGUAAUGGACUGAUUGAGAUAAGAGAAGCUGGUAUGAACUCGUCCUCUCUUGUUUUUUUAAAUAUGAUUAGUUCAUCGUUCCUGAUUCAGCCUAUUAUGAAUAAACAUGUUUGCAAUGACAAUUAGAGAUUAUAGUUGCUUAUUCCAUGCUUAAUUAGCUAGGAGUUUAUAAUGGUUUACCUUGCGUGCCAACAUGCUAUUAAAAUGGUUGUGAUGUGGUAUAGUAGGGUGGUAUCCUCCUUUGAAUGAUUCGAGUGGCUUGACUUGGCACAUGUUCACGCAUGUAGUUGAAACAAAAUCAACAUAGCCUCCAUGAUAUUUAUGUUCAUGGUGGAUUAUAUCCUACUCAUGCUUGCACUCAGUGUUGAUUAAUUUUAAUGCAUGUUCAUGACUGUUGUCGCUCUCUAGCUGGUCGCUUCCCAGUCUUUUGCUAGCCUUCACUUGUACUAAGCGGGAAUACUGCUUCUGCAUCCAAUCCCUAAAACCCCAAAGUUAUUCCAUAUGAGUCCACCAUACCUUCCUAUAUGCGGUGUCUACCUGCCGUUCCAAGUAAAUUUGUAUGUGCCAAACUCUAAACCUUCAAUUGAAAUUCUGUUUUGUAUGCUCGAAUAGCUCAUGUAUCGACUAGGGCUGUCUAUAUCUUCCAUGCUAGGUGGGUUAUUCUCAAGAUGAGUGGACUCCGCUCAUCAUUCACGAGAACAUGGCUGGUAACCGGGAUGCCCAGUCCCAUGCUCUAAGCAAAUCAAAUCAAAAUAAUUGCAAACAAAUUAAACUCCCCCAUGGUUGUUGCUAGUUGGAGGCACUCGUUGUUUUGAGCAAGCCAUGUAUUGAUGCUUGUUGGUGGUGGGGGAGUAUAAACUUUACCAUUCUGUUUGGGAACCGCCUAUAAUGUGUGUAGCAUGGAAGAUAUCAAGAUCUCUUGGUUGUUAUGUUGACAAUGAAAGUAUGCCGCUCAAAAUAUUAUUUAUCUCUGUUUCAAAAAUUGAGCUCUGGCACCUCUACAAAUCCCUGCUUCCCUCUACGAAGGGCCUAUCUAUUUACUUUUAUGUUGAGUCAUCACCCUCUUAUUAAAAAGCACCAGUUAGAGAGCACUCCUGUCAUUUGCAUCCAUUACUAUUAAUUUAUAUUGAGUAUGACUAUGACUGGAUCUCUUUUACCAUGAAUUACAAUGUCUAGUCAGUCCUUGAUCUUUAAAGGUGCUCUGCAUUUAUGUUUUGCGGUCUCAGAAAGGGCUAGCGAGAUACCAUCUUGUUAUAUCAUAUUAUGAUUGUUUUGAGAAAGUGUUGUCAUCCGAGAUUUAUUAUUAUUGCUCGCUAGUUGAUUAUGCCAUUGAUAUGAGUAAACAUGAGACAUAAGUGUUAUUGUGAAUAUGGUUAGUCAUAAUCUUUGCUGAAAACUUGAAUGCUGGCUUUCCAUAUUUACAACAACAAGAGCAAACAGAGUUUGUAAAAGUUUUUCUUUAUCACUUUCAGUUUGUCAACUGAAUUGCUUGAGGACAAGCAAAGGUUUAAGCUUGGGGGAGUUGAUACGUCUCCGUCGUAUGUACUUUUCCAAACACUUUUGCCCUUGUUUUUGGACUCUAACUUGCAUGAUUUGAAUGGAACUAACCCGGACUGAAGCUGUUUUAAGCAAAAUUGCCAUGGUGUUAUCUUUGUGCAGAAACAAAAGUUCUCGGAAUUAACUGAAACUUCAUGGAGAAUAUUUUUGGAAAUAAUACAAAAUACUAGCGAAAGAAUCAAGACCAGGGGGCCCACACCCUGUCCACGAGGGUGGGAGGCGCGCCUGCCCCCCUGGGCGCGCCCCCUGCCUCGUGGACCCCCUCGAACUCCACCGACCUCAACUCCAACUCCAUAUAUUUACGUUCGGGGAGAAAAAAAUUCAGAGAGAAGGAUUCACCGCGUUUUACGAUACGGGGCGCCGCCAAGCCCUAAACUCUCUUGGGAGGGCUGAUCUGGAGUCCGUUCGGGGCUCCGGAGAGGGGAAUCCAUCACCGUCGUCAUCAUCAACCAUCCUCCAUCACCAAUUUCAUUAUGCUCACCGUCGUGCGUGAGUAAUUCCAACGUAGGCUUGCCGGACGGUGAUGGGUUGGAUGAGAUUUAUCAUGUAAUCGAGUUAGUUUUGUUAGGGUUUGAUCCCUAGUAUCCACUAUGUUCUGAGAUUGAUGUUGCUAUGACUUUGCUAUGCUUAAUGCUUGUCACUAGGGCCCGAGUGCCAUGAUUUCAGAUCUGAACCUAUUAUGUUUUCAUGAAUAUAUGUGAGUUCUUGAUCCUAUCUUGCAAGUCAAUAGUCACCUACUAUGUGUUAUGAUCCGGCAACCCCGAAGUGACAAUAAUCGCGACCACUCCCGGUGAUGACCGUAGUUUGAGGAGUUCAUGUAUUCACUAUGUGUUAAUGCUUUGGUCCGGUACUCUAUUAAAAGGAGGCCUUAAUAUCCCUUAGUUUCCAAUAGGACCCCGCUGCCACGGGAGGGUAGGACAAAAGAUGUCAUGCAAGUUCUUUUCCAUAAGCACGUAUGACUAUAUUCGGAAUACAUGCCUACAUUACAUUGAUGAAUUGGAGCUAGUUUUGUAUCACCCUAUGUUAUAACAGUUACAUGAUGAACCGCAUCCGGCAUAAUUAUCCAUCACCGAUCCAAUGCCUAUGAGCUUUUCGCAUACUGUCCUUUCCUUUCUUACUUUUCUGUUGCCACUGUCACAAUUACUACAAAGCUGCUACUAUUACUUUUGCCACUGCUACUGUUACUACUUUGCUACUAAAUACUUUGCUGCAGAUAUUAAGUUAUCAGGUGUGGUUGAAUUGACAACUCAACUGCUAAUACUUGAGAAUAUUCUUUGGCUCCCCUUGUGUCGAAUCAAUAAAUUUGGGUUGAAUACUCUACCCUCGAAAACUGUUGCGACCCCCCAUACUUGUGGGUUAUCAAUACGGUAAGUAAACGGACUCCAAAAAGUCCGCAAAAAUAUUUUCUGUAGUUUUGGAAUAUUACAAAAAAUGGGAAAAUAAGAAACAACCAGGAAGGCAACCCUGGUGGGCACAAGACACUAGGGCACGCCCAGGUGGGUUGUGCCCACCUGGGUUGUGCCCACCUCAGUUACCUUCCAGACUCCGUUUUUCUCCCAUUUGCUUGUCCUGCAAGAUAAAAAAAAUCUUUAUAUACCCCCCGAACGUACUGACCUCCAUAUCACGGAGAAAUCCUCUGUUCUUCUUUCUUGCUGUUUUCUGACACAUCUAGAUCGUCAUGGCUGCCUCAAGCUCCUCCAAGGACAAGUUCUUUGAGAACGUCAUCAACCCGUAUUUGCGGGAGGUGACGCAGUUCCCUCAAGCCACCGAGAUGCGUGAAGGGGUGAUCCAUAUCAGGGACGUCCAGGGGCCCAAGACGACGGGAACCGUGGAGGCCAGGCUCGAAGCCAUGGAGCAAGAGGUCUUCAAGUGCAAGGGGAUGGUGGUGUGCGGACUCAAUGCCAACCACCUCAUGAUUAAGGAUUUCACCCAUGAUCUCAUCGUGGAUGUCUGGUCCAUGAAGGACGUCGUCUUCACCUUCAACGAGCUAAUCAACUUUCUACAAAGCCAAAUCUAUGAUCUCCAAAACCAAGUCUUUGAAUAUGAGGCAAGGUUUAAAGGUAUGAGUUUCGCUGCCAGUUGCAGGACUCGUGAUACUCGUUCUUCCUCAUGAUGGUGAGCCACUGCCAUGGAAACCGGAGGAUAAGCUCGCUACUACCUCAUCACCACCACCUCCAUCUUCAUCACCAAAGGAAACUUAAGUUCAUGGUACGGGCACUCCCUUUGGCUUAUGUCAAGCUUGGGGAGGUGCCCCGGUAUCGUAUCACCACCACUAUCUUUGCCUUUAUUUAUCUUAGUUCGAUCCUUAGUUAUCUUUUGAAUAAGUUGAAUAAAAAGUUUAGUUUGAAUCUUUUCUCUUCGAGUGUUUGCUUAGUGAUCUAUCUAUCUAUGUAAUCGUGUGCGAGAUAUAUAAUAAAGAUUAGUUCAAGUUUUGCUUUCUUUACUUUUAUGUUUCAAUAAAAAUAAAAGGAAAUAAUAAAAAGAUCAUAUGGUAAUCUUAUGGUAAGUAAUGACAUCACAUAAAGAAAAGUGUAAGUGGUAAAAUUUAUUGGAGAUUGACAAACAUAGCAUUGGUCAAUGACGCAAUUCAUUAAAGAAUUAAUAAGGGAAGAGACGAUUCACAUGCAAAUACACUAUCAUGGACAACUUUUAUGAUUGUGAGCCCCCAUUAAAUAUUUUGCAUCAAAUUUGUUGACGUUGGACAAGGAAGGCAACGUAAUGAUUUAUGUUUGCUCGUAUUCACAUAGAAGUUAUAUUGUGAUAGAUCCUUCAACAUGUGGUGCUUCCUUAAUAUCUUUGCUAGCCAAAAAUUCCGCACUAAGUAGAGAUACUACUUGUGCAUCCAAAAACCCUUAACCCAAAAUCUUAUUUGAGAGUCCACCAUACCUACUUAUGGAUUGAGUAAGAUCCUUCAAGUAAGUUGUCAUCGGUGCAUUAAGGCAAUAAAAAUUGCUUUUAAAUGUGUUGGAUCAUUUAGUGUAAGAGAAAAUGUUGGGAGGCGAAACUAUAAGCCCCUAUCUUUCUAUGUGUCUAGCUGAAACUUUUUGUGCAUGGGUAUGCUGUGAGGGUUAGCAACCAUAAAAGGUUAAGUGAUGGUUGAGUAUGUGAACUUGCCUAAAGGCUCCGACACGUGACUCUUCCUGAAAAGAUGAUGAAUUGUAGUUGCAAAGUUGACUGAGAACAUAGUUUGUUGGUUUUCAAUAAGGUUUAUGCUUUAUACUUCAAUGUUGUGAUGAUUUGUUACUUGUUUCAUGAGAAGUCAUAUGAUAAAAGUUGUGUGAUAAAGCUUUAUGUUAAAGUUUAUUGUUGUUAUAAUAAUAAACAUGAUGCUUCUAUGUCCGUAUUUUGUUUUUAUCCAUGCCUCUCUCUCCCUAAGCAUGUGGACAUGUUUUUCGAUUUCGGUUUUUCGCUUGAGGACAAGCGAGGUCUAAGCUUGGGGAGUUGAUACGUCCAUUUUGCAUCAUGUUUUCCUACUGAUAUUUAUAAAUUUUUCAUUUAUAAUAAUGCUUUUUGGAGUAUUUCUAAUGCCUUUGCUCUCAUAAUAUGCAAGGUUUACACAAAGAGGGAGAAUGCCGACAGCUGGAAUUUUGGACCUGAAAAAGCUACGUCAGAGUUACCUAUUCUGCACAUCUCAAAAUAAGCUGAUACUUCACAGAGAUUUUUAUGGAAUAUUUUAGAAUUAUUGGAGCAAAUAACUACUAGAGGGGACCCACCAGUUGUGCCCUCCUCGGCCCACCUCCGGUGCCCAUCUUCUGGUAUAUAAGUCAUUUAGACCUAGAAAAAUCAGGCGAGGAAUUUCGGGAUGAAGUGCCGCCGUCUCGAGGCGGAACUUGGGUAGGAGCACUUUUGCCCUCCGGCGAAGCGAUUCCACCGGGGGAACUUCCCUCCCGGAGGGGGAAAUCAUCGUCAUCAUCAUCACCAACAACUCUCCCAUCUUUGGGAGGGCAAUCUCCAUCAACAUCUUCAACAACACCAUCUCCUCUCAAACCCUAGUUCAUCUCUUGUGUUCAAUCUUUGUACUAGAACCUUAGGUUGGUACUUGUGGGUGACUAGUAGUGUUGAUUACAUCUUGUAGUUGAUUACUAUAUGGUUUAUUUGGUGGAAGAUUAUAUGUUCAGAUCCACUAUGCUAUUUAAUACCCCUCUGAUGUUGAGCAUGAUUAUCAUUUGCGAGUAGUUACUUUUGUGCUAGAGGUCGCGGGAGAAGUCAUAUUGCAAGUAAUCAUGUGAAAUUGAUAUGUGCUCGGUAUUUUGAUGAUAUGUAUGUUGUGAUUCCCUUAGUGGUGUCAUGUGAACGUCGACUACAUGGCACUUCACCUUAUUAGGGCCUAAGGGAAUGCAUUGUGGAGUAGUUAUUAGAUGAUGGUUUGCUAGAGUGACAGAAGCCUAAACCCUAGUUUAUCUGCUACUUCGUAAGGGACCGAUUUGGAUCCAAAAGUUUAAUGCUAUGGUCAGAUUUUAUCUUAAUACUUUUCUCGUAGUUGCGGAUGCUUGUGAGGGGUUUAAUCAUAAGUAGGAGGUUUGUUCAAGUAAGAACAACACCUAAGCACCGAUCCACCCACAUAUCAAAUUAUCAAAGUAGCGAACACGAAUCAAGCCAACAUGAUGAAAGUGACAUGGUGAAAUUCUCUUGUACCCUAAAGAACGUUUUGCUUAUUGUAAGAAACCGUUUUGGCCAGUCCUUUGCCACAAAAGGAUUGGGCUACCUUGCUGCACUUUAUUUACCGUUAACGUUACUUUCUCGUUAAAAAUUAUCUUGCUAUCAAACUAUCUGUUACCGACUAUUUCAGUGCUUGCUGAAAACCACUUGUCAUUUCCUUCUGCUCAUCGUUGGGUUUGACACUCUUACUUAUCGAAAGGACUACGAUUGAUCCCCUAUACUUGUGGGUCAUCCACGAGAGGACCUCGGUUUAGUUUCGGGAGUAGCUGCCCAUAGGACAGUCGAUGCGUGACAGGGCUGGAAUAUGGUGUAGUUUGCCGUCCCUAAGUAGACCAUGAUGGCCCACGUUGCAACGUCCAUAUUGUUUUUGAAUAGAAUGAUAGGUACAUUUGUACGUAUAGAGGCCCAAAACAUGCCAGCUAAGAUGUAAAGAUAGUACAUGUAUUAGACAUUAAUAGAAGAGGCGAAUUAUAGUCGUUGAUAGUAAACUAGUGCACAAUCAUAACAGUAUAGCACCACUGCUCCAUAGACAACCAUACCAUUCAUGCUUGACAAUUAUUUGAUCAACCAAUAUUAUGUGUAUCAAUAAAAUGAGGAUGUAUACGACAAAAGCAGUCUCUGUAGGUCAAGACCCCAACAUACACUAUGUUACUCUGAAAUUUGAUGAAGUGAACUCGCAAUUCUAAUUGAUAGGUAAUGCAUAAUUGGCAGCUGAUUGAUAGGUAAUGCACAUCAGCCAUCUGAUCUGCACAUAUGGGCAAAAUUUUGUUGACAAGCAAGUUCUCACUUCAUACAUCAAGGUCAUGAAUAUCACCCUACGGUUGAAUGGACAACACCCAUAUCGUAAGCAAGUUGUCACUUCAUACAUCAAGGUCAUGACAAUUGAAUAUUCCAUAACCUCUUCAAUUACCUAGAAUUAAAAAAAUAGGACAAGGUGUUUCUCAAAUUGGAAACUUAGUAUGUCGUGGAGAGAAUGGCAAGGCUUCCACAUGAUGGACCAUGUUGCCUUGCCCAUAUUUUGGACGAUGCAAUAAUCAGUAAGUUUGUAAAAAUAUGUGACAUUGGGGUAAUCUAGGCACAUAGGUUGAUACACGUUUUCAUCCUAAUUUCUUUGAUAGAAACUUUUGGGUAAUCUUUGAAGUUAUUUGUGUUGGAUUGAAUAUUAUGAAUCUGAAAUUGUUUGGUGCAUGUCGAAUAAUUGACUCAUGAAUACUUGUGGUGACAUUGGAGUAUCUAGGCGACAUCAGAGUUGAUUGAUACGUAUCAUAUGGUGUUAUUGUAGUACGAACUCUACGGUUGUUUGUGACACUUAUAGGGAUGGCUCAAUAGAUUGAUCGGAAAGAUAACUUUGAGGUGGUUCGCUACGUACAAUAAUUUCAUCUUAUGUCUUCGCUAUUGAUAAGAACUUUGGAGUGAUUCUUUGUCGCACAUAGAGGCAUUGUUAUAUGAUUCAAUAUGUUAGCACUGUUGAGAGAUUACCCUAGUGAAAGUAUGAAACCCAGGCCUUGUUUUUAUGCGUUGCAAUACCGUUUAUGCGCACUUUUUCACUUCUAGCUUGCUCUUUUUACUAUUUCAGAUUACAAAAACCUAUAUCUACUAUCCAUACUACACUUGUAUCACCAUCUCUUCACCGAACUAGUGCACCUAUACUUUACCAUUGUAUUGGGUGUGGUGGGAACACAAGAGAUUUCUUGUAUUUGAUUGCAGGGUUGUUUGAGAGACACCAUCUUCAUCGUAUACCUCCCAAAGAUUGAUAAAUCUUAGGUCAUCCACUUGAGAGAAAUUUGUUGUUAUCCUACAAAACUCUGCACUUGGAGGCCCAACAGAGUCUACAAGAAUAAAAGUUGCAUAGUAGACAUGAGGCACCUGGGGGAGCCACAGACUUCGUUGAUGCCUCCCUUAGGUUCCCAUCAUAUAGGGGGCCUACAUCAGGCGCCAAGGGCCCCUAGUUUUCUCCCUGUUUUGGCCCUAGCCCCCUGGUCCUCUAGUGUUGUGGAACUUCCUCCCAACCUUUCUCGAGAUUUAUAUGGACUUAGGUAUUUCAUUAUCCUAAAAUUUAUAAACAACACAAAAUUGAAACUGACAUUGGACACUAAUUAAUAGGUUAGUCCCUCAAGAAGCUUUGUAACAAAAAAAUUUGCAUAACUAAAGGAUAAUAUCCAGAAACUUACUAAUUUAUAGAUACAUGGAGAUGUAUUGGUACAAUGCACGACAUGCUUGGACAUUUUAAAAAGUACUAUUGCAUGGGUUGGUAAAAGUUAAUCUUAAAUUAUCAUUUAUGUGGAUCUCACUAUUAACAAAAUUACAAACAUUUGGACAAUCUUUCUUACCUAACAAUUAAAAAGAGUGUGUUCUCAAAAGCUUGUUAACGUGUCUUUAAACAAGAACAUGUAAUUAAACCAAUUCAAUGUUGCAAAUGUGUGCAUACUUUUCUCCAGUAUUAAUUUGAAAGGCCCUUAUCUGACGAUCUAUGUUUAGCAAAUAAUUACAUCCUUCAUUGUCGUGUAGCAUUUUGUAGCAAAAAAUUUAAAUGCUCUAAAUGUGUACAUGCUUUUCUCUAUGAUUAAUUCGAGGUGUCCUUAUCCAGCAACCUAUGUUUAGCUAAUAAUUACAACCUUUGUUGUCGUGUAGCAUAUUGUUCUUUAGAGGAUAUUGAUAAGCGGUUUUAGUUUGGACCCCACUUCCAUCUAUAUAAAGGAUCACCAUCCCCUCUUUCAACCCAAGCAUAUCUUUCAUAAGAUCAAUAUCUCGAGAAAGAUACUUCGAGUCAUCUAGUCCCAGUCACUUAGAUCAUAUCCACUUUGAGUAUGCCAAAGAGCCGAAGGAGGUCGGGUGUGGAGAAGGUCGAGGAUGAGGUGAAGAAGGUAAGGAUUGCAUUGUUGGAAGAGGAGAUGGCCCAGUUAGGGAGAGAGCUUGCGACACAGAAAGAGAGAGCAAAAGUGACCAACCUGUUGGAAAUAUGCCCUAGAGGCAAUAAUAAAAUGGUUAUUAUUAUAUUUCCUUGUUCAUGAUAAUUGUCUAUUGUUCAUGCUUUAAUUGUGUUAUCCGUAAAUCGUAAUACAUGUAUGAAUACAUAGACCAUAACAUGUCCCUAGUGAGCCUCUAGUUGACUAGCUCGUUGAUCAAUAGAUGGUUACGGUUUCCUGACCAUGGACAUUGGAUGUCAUUGAUAACGGGAUCACAUCAUUAGGAGAAUGAUGUGAUGGACAAGACCCAAUCCUAAGCAUAGCACUAGAUUGUGUAGUUCGUUUGCUAAAGCUUUUCUAAUGUCAAGUAUCAUUUCCUUAGACCAUGAGAUCGUGCAACUCCCGGAUACCGUAGGAAUGCUUUGGGUGUACUAAACGUCACAACGUAACUGGGUGGCUAUAAAGGUGCACUACAGGUAUCUCCGAAAGUGUCUGUUGGGUUGGCUCGGAUCGAGACUGGGAUUUGUCACUCUGUAUGACGGAGAGGUAUCUCUGGGCCCACUCGGUAUUGCAUCAUCAUAAUGAGCUCAAUGUGACUAAGUAGUUAGUCACGGGAUCAUGCAUUACGGAAUGAGUAAAGUGACUUGCCGGUAACGAGAUUGAACGAGGUAUUGGGAUACCGACGAUCGAAUCUCGGGCAAGUAAAGUACCGAUUGACAAAGGGAAUUGUAUACGGGAUUGCUUGAAUCCUCGACAUCGUGGUUCAUCCGAUGAGAUCAUCGUGGAACAUGUGGGAGCCAACAUGGGUAUCCAGAUCCCGCUGUUGGUUAUUGGCUAGAGAGGUGUCUCGGUCAUGUCUGCAUGAUUCCCGAACCCGUAGGGUCUACACACUUAAGGUUCGAUGACGCUAGGGUUAUAAGGAAGGUUUAUAUUAGAUUACCGAAUGUUGUUCGGAGUCCCGGAUGAGAUCACGGACGUCACGAGGAGUUCCGGAAUGGUCCAGAGGUAAAGAUUUAUAUAUGGGAAGUCACCAUACGGUCACCGGAAAUAUUCGGGGGUAUACCGGGACCACCGGAGGGGUUCGGGGGGUCCACCGGGAGGGUCCACCUGCCCCGGAGGGCCUUAUGGGCUGUUGGUGGAAGGGAACCAGCCCUUAGUGGGCUGGGCGCCAACCCCCCUAUGGCCCAUGCGCCUAGGGUUUGGGGGGACCCUAAUGGGGGGCGCCCCCCCCCCCUUGCUUGGGGGGCAAGCUCCCUCCCCCCUUGGCCGCCGCCCCCCUCUAGAUCUCAUCUAGAGGGGCCGGCCCCCUUUCCCCUUCUCCCUAUAAAUAGAGGGGUGAGGGGAGGGCUGCAACACCACAUCCAAGGCGCAGCCCCUCCCCUCCCCAACACCUCUCCUCCUCCGCGUGUGCUUGGCGAAGCCCUGCCGGAGAACUGUCACUCCACCACGACCACGCCGUCGUGCUGCUGUUGGAGCCUUCUUCCUCAACCUCUCCCUCCUCCUUGCUGGAUCAAGGCGUGGGAGACGUCAUCGCUCCGUACGUGUGUUGAACGCGGAGGUGCCGUCCGUUUGGCGCGCCUCCGGUGGUCUCAUAGAACAUUGAACUUCCCCAACGUGCCGGCGCAGGAGCUCGCGCCUCUGCAGCGGCUUAGCACCGACGAGGAUCGUCGCGACAACCAGAGGCGGGAGCACCGUCUCCGCAUCGCCGAGAUGGACGAGGAAGCCAUGGCGCUGUGGCGCCAACACUUCCCGCAGGACAUCAUCAAAGAGCGCGAGUUCCAUGCGCAAAGGAGGGCGGAGAGGGAUAAGAGGAGGGCGGAGCGAGCCGCCUAUCGCGAGGACAAGCGUAGGAGAAAAGCGGACGCUCAAUUCAACAUGAGGCUAGGAGCAGCGUCGCCCUGGGAAUCCGACGAUGAUCGGUAUCUUCACGCCUACAGUCAGACGUCGGAGGAGGACAUCACCGAGGAGGAGUCGGACUACGAGGAGUAGUUGAAUUAUCUUUUUUUAUCUAUCUAUGCUGAGAACUAUCCUCUACUCUCUAGUAUCUACUUCUCGAUCUCAGCACUGUAAACGCUUUUUUAAAGCGCCGCGCGUUGCGAUUCUGUUGGAGAUGCUCUAACAUGGCAGACGAGUGCUUUAAUGUUGCCCACAAGAUGCGCGAGUAUUACUAGUAGUAUAUUUUUCUUGCCAUGUUGAGAUUUUAAAACCACGAGUGCGAACAUGCAGAGGAGCAAUGAAGACCAAACACGGGAUAUUCGGGACAUCUUCAAGGAGCAUGGCAAAUUAAAGAGGAGCUGCACCGAACCUGUAAAAUGAGCUUUGGUAAGUAACACCCUUUCAAUUACUUUCGUGUAGCCUCGUGUUCUUAGAUGUGUAUAUGUUGUAGUUUCUGUUUCUCUUAAGCGUGGUGUUCUUCGAUGUGUAAUAAGAAGAGUCUUAAUCGUCCUAAUGCUUUCAUUUUUAGCUUGAUGUAGGAAGUGGGUGUUCUCACCUUGUAGUCUGUUUUUAUUUUUAUUUUCCUUUUGAAUUCACUUCUCCGAGUUAUGUUUAUCUGGCUUCUACUAAAUGGAUCUAGGUUGCUCUGAGUAUUGAUCUAAAAAAGAAGUAACUUCAUAUCAGGAUGCAGUUCCUGCGAGGAGGGAAGUAUGGUCAACCUCGAGAUCAUGUUUCCAAAAUGAGGCUGGAUUACACACAAGGUGUCAGUUCCCUAAUGAUGCUGGAUUAGACACAAGGUGCAAAUUCCCAGAUGAUGCUGGAUUACACACAAGCCAGGUGGAGUCGUCAGCUGUUCGUGUCCUCGUGGUAUUAGUAAAGGCUGAAAGAAAGCGUGCAGCAGCCCUUGAGAAUGUAGCUGAGUUCCUGAAGAAGCGAAAAGAGCAAUCAGAUGCUCUCUUCACCCAAGCCAAAGAAGAGAUGGAAGAAGCCAGAAAUAAGCUAGCAGAGGCAGAGCAGGCUAGGCGUCUCCUGCUAUCUAAAAUUGUUGUCAAUAAAAAAUUUCCUUCAUAAUAGCUAGGUUCAAAUGUUUAUCCAGUCAGCAUGCCUGUUGUGAUGUCCGUGCAUCUACUAAUGUGGCACAAAAUGUUUUUUUUCGGGUCAUGUAAUAACAGCAAUUACUUUCCAAACAAUAACAGACGAAGCAUUGGACAUGGUAUAGUUCACGCGCAAGCUCGACAUUCCAAGUUCAACUUCCACAUCAAACUCAUGUUCACAGAUCUCUGCACAUUCAUACAUAAUGUCCACAACCAUGAUUCACUUCAAAGCCAAAAAAUGUGAGGAGAGUUAUAAAUAAAGAAAAUCCUCUACUAGUUCCUGCUACCAGUGCGAGCACGACAAGUCAAGACCAUGCGUAAAUUAAUUCUAUUUUAGUCAUUUUUUGUGUUCUAAAAUGCCUGUCGGCUCGCGGAAGGACGUGUUGCCGGCACACGCGCGGAUUCAAUGAAGGCAGGUGGGGCAGUCUUAAGCUGGUUGCACGCGGCGAGGAGGCGUGCUCAGCCGGGCCUGCAUCGAGUGCGGCCCUCUUGGUCGGCGCGCCGGUUCAAUGCCUGCGCUAUGAGAGGUCGCGUCAGUGUCAGAGCAAUCACUCCCUCCAGUCCUUUUUUGUUUGGGUAUAACAAAAUCUCGUUUUCCAUUCACAUUUUACAAGUAAAAUUCAUGGACAAACUUUGACCCAAAGUACUAUGGGGGCUAGUAAACCAGAAUGGAGGUAGUAGUUUUUUUCAAUCAAAGAAGGGUUUCCCCUUCCGAUUUUCAUUACUGAAAACCAGCAUCUAAAUCUAAACCAUAGUAUUUGCCCUAGAACUACCAGGUUCAACAUCUCGCAACAUAAACCCAUACAACCUCCAUCGCAAAAAAAACAUACAACCAUACGCCAAGGAGUUACGUAGUACUAUGAAUUCCAUUUUCGCUCCAUACCAAUCGUUCUAAAAACUACUUACUACUUAUAACGCGCCAUUGAAAAUCGGAACUCUUAACCCCGCUAAAAAAAUGAUAUUUUAAACGUGGCUACUCGAUCUGUGGCAACUGGCGAGCCACCGCGCUCCAAGUCGUUCACCUGUGGUCCCGACCAUCAACUCCUACGGAUCAAAUUAUUACGCGAGCUGACUAUUCCUACAAAGGUGCUCCACCACGUACCCGGUACCCGCGAAUGCAGCAAUCGUGCACCUAGGGUUUUAGGGUUUAUUUGUUAACGUAGCCUUUACGUAACACUCAUGUGUGCGAGACAGCGAGAGGCCGACUGCGUGCGUGCGCCUCUUCUCUUCGUAUAUGUACUCCACCGUUUGUCUGGUGUCCAAAAAAUUAUAAUAACUACUAGCAAUGUGCCAAUGUGUUGCCACACGAUCAAAGUAGAUUAAUACAUAUUCACCGAUUUGAUAGAAACAAAAGUCUAGUUUUCAAAUACGUAUAUCACUAAAUAUAUGUUAUGUUUCACUCAAAAUAUAUUCCUUUGGCGGUUUUGAUGAGAUAAGGUAGGAAUGUUGUUGGUUCAAGAUUCGAGAAGUGGUAUAUGUCUAAUUUCUACUCUUACUAGCAAGAUGCCCGUGUGUUGCAUGGAACAUCAAGAUCUUGUGGGAGAAAAGGAUGAACGAGGGAAGGCCUUAUCUGCAAAUGUGGUGAAGAGUGCGGGAAAAUUGCCAUAUUUUCCUUCCUAUCCGUCAGAUAUAAAUCGGACGACCUACAUUGCAGGAUGGCAGGCCCACCAUCAUCACCAACUCUAUUUUUUAUCCCUACUCUUAUAAAAAGCAUUGUCGGUGAUGAUCGUGUGCCUGCCAUCCUGCAAUAUAGGCCGUCCGAUCUAUAUCUGACGGAUAGGAAGGAAACCAUGGCAAUUUUGCAAAAAGAUACCCACACCCCUCUCCACAUUUGCAAAUAGGGCCUUCCCUCGUUCAUCCUUUUUCCCCACAAGAUAAACUACUCAUACAAAUGCAUCUUGAUGUUCCGUGCAACGCAUGGGCAUCUUGCUAGUUGUUGCAAAAAGCCCAUGUGUGUGUGAGAGAGAGGGAGAGUGGAGGAGGACGGAGUGCAUGUGUGACAAAGACACAAGGAGUGUGUGUGCGAUAGGUAUCAGCUUAAAAUGAGGCGAUAGUGUGUGUGUGCACGAUCGAGAGGGCGUGUCUCAAGAAGGGAAGAAAAAUCUACACAGUAACAAGGAGCGGGAGAGAGACAUGUAUGCGAUGGUGGAAGCAUGAGUGUGCGGGUGUAUAAACCUAUCUAGAGGCUAGCUAGUCGAUAAAUGUUUGUGAGAGAAAUACGAGUCGAGGUGUGAAAGCGAGAGUUUUGCGUGUGUGAGAGAGAGACGGUAGUCGGGAAGGGGAGUGGAAGCAGGAGUUGUGUGUGUGUGUCUAUGAGAGAGAGAGAGAGAGAGGAGACGGUAGUCGGGGUUGUCUGAUCGGUAAACAAAUGAAUAAUGUCAGUCUGGGAUGGAGACGAAAAGGAGACCGCAACAAAUGUUGUGUCUACAGGAGAGAGAGAGAGAGAGAGAGAGAGUAAUUUUAGUGGUAUGAGUCAUAUGUAGAGACAUAUAGGGUGUGUGAGAGAAUCCCAUAGAGAGAAAGACAAAGUGAAAGACGAGUGGAGACUGUGUGUGUGGCGGUGGAAAAGAAAGCUUAGGUACCGAGUGAUACCAGAGAACAGUAGAGACGUGAGAGAUAAUGAAACCGUGUAAUGUAUAAUGAUAGGGAGAGUGUGACACUUCUCAAGGGAGACGUCGAGAGACCAUGUUUGCGAGGAUAGGAGAAACAUGAAGUGAGCGUGCGGGUGAGCUGGAGAAAAGAGAGUGAUAGCUACCUGAAGGAGCAUGCAUGCGAGAGAGACGGGCGUGAAAGGAGUGAACAAAAAAGGGAUUCAAAUAUUUGAAUUCAAGACGAUGAUACAUGUAAUCCAUACUCGAACCAAAAUUGAUCUAUCAAACAUGCAUACUCAUAUGAAUUCACCCACAUCUAUGUUAUUUAAUAUGUAGAUAUUACUGAUCCAUACAUUUUAGUAGAACAUAAUUUGGUUAAAAAAAAUCGAAUUCAACCUUCAGAUUUCGAGAUCGUUGUAUUUGUAAAUCAUAUUAUACAUAUAAAGGAGCAGAAUUCUUUGUUGUGCUUUGUUGGGGAACAUAGUAAUUUCAAAAAAAUUCCUACGCACACGCAAGAUCAUGGUGAUGCAUAGCAACGAGAGGGGAGAGUGUUGUCCACGUACCCUCGUAGACCGAUAGCGGAAGCGUUAUCACAACGCGGUUGAUGUAGUCGUACGUCUUCACGAUCCGACCGAUCAAGUACCGAACGCACGGCACCUCCGAGUUCUACACACGUUCAGCUCGAUGACGUCCCUCGAACUCUGAUCCAGUCGAGUGUUGAGGGAGAGUUUCGUCAGCACGACGGCGUGGUGACGAUGAUGAUGUUCCACCGACGCAGGGCUUCGCCUAAGCUCCGCAACGGUAUUAUCGAGGUGUAAAAUGGUGGAGGGGGGCACCGCACACGGUUAAGAGAUCUCAAGGAUCAAUUGUUGUGUCCAUGGGGUGCCCCCUCCCCCGUAUAUAAAGGAGCAAGGGAGAAGGAGGCCGGCCCUAGGAGGGGGCGCACCAAGUGUGGAGUCCUACUAGGACUCCCUAGUCCUAGUAGGAUUCCACCUCCCAUAUGGAAUAGGAAAAGAGGAAGGGAAAAGAGAAGGAAGGAAGGGGGCGCCCCCCUUCCCUAGUCCAAUUCGGACCAGACCAAGGGGAGGGGUGCGGCCACCCUUGAGGCCCUUUUCCUUCUUUCCCGUAUGGCCCAAUAAGGCCCAAUACGUAUUCCCGUAACUCUCCGGUACUCCGAAAAAUACCCGAAUCACUCGGAACCUUUCCGAAGUCCGAAUAUAGUCGUCCAAUAUAUCGAUCUUUACGUCUCGGCCAUUUCGAGACUCCUCGUCAUGUCCCCGAUCUCAUCCGGGACUCCGAACUCCUUCGGUACAUCAACAUACAUAAACUCAUAAUAAAACUGUCAUCGUAACGUUAAGCGUGCGGACCCUACGGGUUCGAGAACUAUGUAGACAUGACCGAGACACGUCUCCGGUCAAUAACCAAUAGCGGGACCUGGAUGCCCAUAUUGGCUCCCACAUAUUCUACGAAGAUCUUUAUCGGUCAGACCGCAUAACAACAUACGUUGUUUCCUUUGUCACCGGUAUGUUACUUGCCCGAGAUUUGAUCGUCGGUAUCUCGAUACCUAGUUCAAUCUCGUUACCGGCAAGUCUCUUUACUCGUUCCGUAACACAUCAUCCCGCAACUAACUCAUUACUCACAAUGCUUGCAAGGCUUAUAGUGAUGUGCAUUACCGAGUGGGCCCAGAGAUACCUCUCCGACAAUUGGAGUGACAAAUCCUAAUCUCGAAAUACGCCAACCCAACAAGUACCUUUGGAGACACCUGUAGAGCACCUUUAUAAUCACUCAUUUACGUUGUGACGUUUGGUAGCACACAAAGUGUUCCUCCGGUAAACGGGAGUUGCAUAAUCUCAUAGUCAUAGGAACAUGUAUAAGUCAUGAAGAAAGCAAUAGCAACAUACUAAACGAUCGAGUGCUAAGCUAACGGAAUGGGUCAAGUCAAUCACGUCAUUCUCCUAAUGAGGUGAUCUCGUUAAUCAAAUGACAACUCAUGUCUAUGGCUAGGAAACAUAACCAUCUUUGAUUAACGAUCCAGUCAAGUAGAGGCAUACUAGUGACACUCUGUUUAUCUAUGUAUUCACACAUGUAUUUUGUUUCCGGUUAAUACAAUUCUAGCAUGAAUAAUAAACAUUUAUCAUGAUAUAAGGAAAUAUAUAAUACUUUAUUAUUGCCUCUAGGGCAUAUUUCCUUCAGUCUCCCACUUGCACUAGAGUCAAUAAUCUAGUUCACAUCGCCAUGUGAUUUAACAUCAAUAAUUCACAUCACCAUGUGAUUAACACCCAUAGUUCACAUCUCUAUGUGACCAACACUCAAAGGGUUUACUAGAGUCAAUAAUCUAGUUCACAUCGCUAUGUGAUUAACACCCAAAGUGUACUAAGGUGUGAUCAUGUUUUUAUUGUGAGAUAAUUUUAGUCAACGGGUCUGUCACAUUCAGAUCCGUAAGGAUUUUGCAAAUUCCUAUGUCUACAAUGCUCUGCACGGAGCUACUCUAGCUAAUUGCUCCCACUUUCAAUAUGUAUCUAGACCGAGACUUAGAGUCAUCUAGAUUUAGUGUCAAAACUUGCAUCGACGUAACCCUUUACGACGAACCUUUUGUCACUUCCAUAAUCGAGAAACAUUUCCUUAUUCCACUAAGGAUAAUUUUGACCGCUGUCCAGUGAUCUACUCCUAGAUCACUAUUGUACUCCCUUGCCAAAAUCAGUGUAGGGUAUACAAUAGAUCUGGUAUACAGCAUGGCAUACUUUAUAGAACCUAUGGCCAAGGCAUAGGGAAUGACUUUCAUUCUCUUUCUAUCUUCUGCCGUGGUCUGGCUUUGAGUCUUACUCAAUUUCAUACCUUGUAACACAGGCAAGAACUCUUUCUUUGACUGUUCUAUUUUGAACUACUUCAAAAUCUUGUUAAGGUAUCUCCUCAUUGAAAAAAUUUAUCAAGCGUUUUGAUCUAUCUCUAUAGAUCUUGAUGCUCAAUAUGUAAGCAGCUUCACCGAGGUCUUUCUUUUGAAAAACUCCUUUCAAACACUCCUUUAUGCUUUGCAGAAUAAUUCUACAUUAUUUCCGAUCAACAAUAUGUCAUUCACAUAUACUUAUCAGAAAUGUUGUAGUGCUCCCACUCACUUUGUUGUAAAUACAGGCUUCACCGCAAGUCUGUAUAACACUAUAUCCUUUGAUCAACUUAUCAAACUGUAUAUUCCAACUCCGAGAUGCUUGCACCAGUCCAUAGAUGGAUUGCUGGAGCUUGCAUAUUUUGUUAGCACCUUUAGGAUUGACAAAACCUCCUGGUUGCAUCAUAUACAACUCUUUUUUAAUAAAUCCAUUAAGGAAUGCAGUUUUGUUUAUCCCUUUGCCAUAUUUCAUAAAAUGUGGCAAUUGCUAACAUGAUUCGGACAGACUUAAGCAUAGAUACGAGUGAGAAACUCUCAUCGUAGUCAACAUCUUGAACUUGUCGAAAACCUUUUGCGACAAUUCUAGCUUUGUAGAUAGUUACACUACUAUCAGCGUCCGUCUUCCUCUUGAAGAUCCAUUUAAUCUCAAUGGCUCGCCGAUCAUUGGGCAAGUCAAUCAAAGUCCAUACUUUGUUCUCAUAUAUGGAUCUUAUCUCAGAUUUCAUGGCCUCAAGCCAUUUUGCGGAAUCUGGGCUCACCAUCGCUUCUUCAUAGUUCGUAGGUUCGCCAUGGUCUAGUAACAUGACCUCCAGAACAGGAUUACCGUACCACUCUGGUGUGUUUCUUGAUCUAGUUGACCUAUGAAGUUCAGUAAUAACUUGAUCUGAAGUUUCAUGAUCAUUAUCAUUGACUUCCUCACUAAUUGGUGUAGGAGUCACAUGAACAGAUUUCUGUGAUGAACUACUUUCCAAUAAGGGAGCAGGUACAGUUACCUCAUCAAGUUCUACUUUCCUCCCACUCACUUCUUUCGAGAGAAACUCCUUCUCUAGAAAGGAUCCAUACUUAGCAACGAAUGUCUUGCCUUCGGAUCUGUGAUAGAAGGUGUACCCAACUGUCUCCUUUGGGUAUCCUAUGAAGACACAUUUCUCCGAUUUGGGUUUGAGCUUAUCAGGAUGAAACUUUUUCACAUAAGCAUCGCAACCCCAAACUUUAAGAAACGACAACUUUGGUUUCUUGCCAAACCAUAGUUCAUAAGGCGUCGUCUCAUCGGAUUUUGAUGGUGCCCUAUUUAAUGUGAAUGUAGCUGUCUCUAAUGCAUAACCCCAAAACGAUAGUGGUAAAUUGGUAAGAGACAUCAUAGAUUGCACUAUAUCCAAUAAAGUACGUUUAUGACGUUCGGACACACCAUUAUGCUGUGGUGUUCUAAGUGGCGUGAGUAGUGAAACUAUUUCACAUUGUUUUAACUGAAGGCCAAACUCGUAACUAAAAUACUCUUCUCCACGAUCAAAUCGUAGAAACUUUAUUUUCUUGUUACGAUGAUUUUCGCUUCACUCCGAAAUUAUAUGAACUUUUCAAAUGUUUCAGACUUCUGUUUCAUUAAGUAGAUAUACCCAUAUCUGCUCAAAUCAUCUGUGAAGAUCAGAAAAUAAUGAUACCCGCUACGAGCCUCAAUAUUCAUCGGACCACAUACAUCUGUAUGUAUGAUUUCCAACAAAUCUGUUGCUCUCUCCAUAGUACCGGAGAACGGCGUUUUAGUCAUCUUGCCCAUGAGGCACGGUUCGCAAGCAUCAAGUGAUUCAUAAUCAAGUGAUUCCAAAAUCCCAUCAGUAUGGAGUUUCUUCAUGCGCUUUACACCAAUAUGACCUAAACGGCAGUGCCACAAAUAAGUUGCACUAUCAUUAUUAACUUUGCAUCUUUUGGCUUCAAUAUUAUGAAUAUGUGUAUCACUACGAUCGAGAUCCAACAAACCAUUUUUGUUGGUGUGUGUGACCAUAAAAGGUUUUUAUUCAUGUAAACAGAACAACAAUUGUUCUCUAACUUAAAUGAAUAACCGUAUUGCAAUAAACAUGAUCAAAUCAUAUUCAUGCUCAACGCAAACACCAAAUAACACUUAUUUAGUUUCAACACUAAUCCCGAAAGUAUAGGGAGUGUGCGAUGAUGAUCAUAUCAAUCUUGGAACUACUUCCAACACACAUCGUCACCUCGCCUUUUACUAGUCUCUGUUUAUUCUGCUACUCCCAUUUUCGAGUUACUACUCUUUAGCAACUGAACCAGUAUCAAAUACUGAGGGGUUGCUAUAAACACUAGUAAGUACACAUCAAUAACAUGUAUAUCCAAUAUACCUUUGUUCACUUUGCCAUCUUUCUUAUCCACCAAAUACUUGGGGUAGUUCCGCUUCCAGUGACCAGUCCCUUUGCAGUAGAAGCACUUAGUCUCAGGCUUAGGUACAGACUUGGGCUUCUUCACUUGAGUAGCAACUUGCUUGCCAUUCUUUUGAAGUUCCCCUUCUUCCCUCUGCACUUUUCUUGAAACUAGUGGUCUUGUCAACCAUCAACACUUGAAGUGGUCUCGUCAACCAUCAACACUUGAUGUUUUUCUUGAUUUCUACCUUCGUCGAUUUCAGCAUCACGAAGAGCUCGGGAAUUACUUUCGUCAUCCCUUGCAUACUAUAGUUCAUCACGAAGUUCUACUAACUUGGUAAUGGUAACUAGAGAAUUCUUUCAAUCACUAUUUUAUCUGGAAGAUUAACUCCCACUUGAUUCAAGCAAUUGUAGUACCCAGACAAUCUGAGCACAUGCUCACUAGUUGAGCGAUUCUCCUCCAUCUUUUAGCUAUAGAACUUGUUGGAGACUUCAUAUCUCUCAACUCGGGUAUUUGCUUGAAAUAUUAACUUCAACUCCUGGAACAUCUUAUAUGGUCCAUGACGUUCAAAACGUCUUUGAAGCCCCGAUUCUAAGCCGUUAAGCAUGGUGCACUAAACUAUCAAGUAGUCAUCAUAUUGAGCUAGCCAAACGUUCAUAACGUCUGCAUCUGCUCCUGCAAUAGGUCUGUCACCUAGCGGUGCAUCAAGGACAUAAUUCUUCUGUGCAGCAAUGAGGAUAAUCCUCAGAUCACGGAUCCAAUCCGCAUCUUUGCUACUAACAUCUUUCAACAUAAUUUUUCUCUAGCAACAUAUCAAAAAUAAACACAGGGAAGCAACAACGCGAGCUAUUGAUCUACAACAUAAUUUGCAAAAUACUAUCAGGACUAGGUUCAUGAUAAAUUUAAGUUCAAUUAAUCAUAUUACUUAAGAACUCCCACUUAGAUAGACAUCCCUCUAAUCAUCUAAGUGAUUACGUGAUCCAAAGCAACUAAACCAUGUCCGAUUAACACGUGAGAUGGAGUAGUUUCAAUGGUGAACAUCACUAUGUUGAUCAUAUCUACUAUAUGAUUCACGCUCGACCUUUCGGUCUCUGUGUUCCGAGGCCAUAUCUGUAUAUGCUAGGCUCGUCAAGUUUAACCUGAGUAUUCCGCGUGUGCAACUGUUUUGCACCCGUUGUAUUUGAACGUAGAGCCUAUCACACCCGAUUAACACGUGGUGUCUCAGCACGAAGAACUUUUGCAAUGGUGCAUACUCAGAGAGAACACUUUUAUCUUGAAAUUUUAGUGAGAGAUCAUCUUAUAAUGCUACCGUCAAUCAAAGCAAGAUAAGAUGCAUAAAGGAUUAACAUCACAUGCAAUCAAUAUAAGUGAUAUGAUAUGGCCAUCAUCAUCUUGUGCUUGUGAUCUCCAUCUCCGAAGCACCGUCAUGAUCACCAUCGUCACCAGCGUGACACCUUGAUCUCCAUCGUAGCAUCGUUGUCGUCUCGCCAACUUAUUGCUUUUACGACUAUCGCUACCGCUUAGUGAUAAAGUAAAACUAUUACAUGGCGAUUGCAUCUCAUACAAUAAAGCGACAACCAUAUGGCUCCUGCCAGUUGCCGAUAACUCGGUUACAAAACAUGAUCAUCUCAUACAACACAUUAUAUCACAUCAUGUCUUGACCAUAUCACAUCACAACAUGCCCUGCAAAAACAAGUUAGACGUCCUCUACUUUGUUGUUGCAUAUUUUACGUGGCUGCUACGGGCUUAGCAAGAACCGUUCUUACCUACGCAUCAAAACCACAACGAUAGUUUGUCAAGUUGGUGCUGUUUUAACCUUCGCAAGGACCGGGCGUAGCCACACUCGGUUCAACUAAAGUGAGAGAGACAGACACCCGCCAGUCACCUUUAAGCAACGAGUGCUCCGAACGGUGAAACCAGUCUCGCGUAAGCGUACGCGUAAUGUCGGUCCGGGCCGCUUCAUCUCACAAUACCGCUGAACCAAAGUAUGACAUGCUGGUAAGCAGUAUGACUUAUAUCGCCACAACUCACUUGUGUUCUACUCGUGCAUAGCAUCAACGCAUAAAACCAGGCUCGGAUGCCACUGUUGGGGAACGUAGUAAUUUCAAAAAAAUUCCUACGCACAUGCAAGAUCAUGGUGAUGCAUAGCAACGAGAGGGGAGAGUGUUGUCCACGUACCCUCGUAGACCGAUAGCGGAAGCGUUAUCACAACGCGGUUGAUGUAGUCGUACGUCUUCACGAUCCGACCGAUCAAGUACCGAACGCACGGCACCUCUGAGUUCUACACACGUUCAGCUCGAUGACGUCCCUCGAACUCCGAUCCAGCCGAGUGUUGAGGGAGAGUUUCAUCAGCACGACGGCGUGGUGACGAUGAUGAUGUUCCACCGACGCAGGGCUUCGCCUAAGCUCCGCAACGGUAUUAUCGAGGUGUAAUAUGGUGGAGGGGGGCACCGCACACGGCUAAGAGAUCUCAAGGAUCAAUUGUUGUGUCCAUGGGGUGCCCCCUGCCCCCGUAUAUAAAGGAGCAAGGGAGGAGGAGGCCGGCCCUAGGAGGGGGCGCACCAAGUAUGGAGUCCUACUAGGACUCCCUAGUCCUAGUAGGAUUCCACCUCCCAUAUGAAAUAGGAAAAGAGGAAGGGAAAAAGAGAAGGAAGGAAGGGGGCACCCCCUUCCCUAGUCCAAUUCGGACCAAACCAAGGGGAGGGGUGCGGCCACCCUUGAGGCCCUUUUCCUUCUUUCCCGUAUGGCCCAAUAAGGCCCAAUACGUAUUCCCGUAACUCUCCGGUACUCCGAAAAAUACCCGAAUCACUCGGAACCUUUCCGAAGUCCGAAUAUAGUCGUCCAAUAUAUCGAUCUUUACGUCUCGGCCAUUUCGAGACUCCUCGUCAUGUCCCCGAUCUCAUCCGGGACUCCGAACUCCUUCGGUACAUCAACAUACAUAAACUCAUAAUAAAACUGUCAUCGUAACGUUAAGCGUGCGGACCCUACGGGUUCGAGAACUAUGUAGACAUGACCGAGACACGUCUCCGGUCAAUAACCAAUAGCGGGACCUGGAUGCCCAUAUUGGCUCCCACAUAUUCUACGAAGAUCUUUAUCGGUCAGACCGCAUAACAACAUACGUUGUUUCCUUUGUCACCGGUAUGUUACUUGCCCGAGAUUUGAUCGUCGGUAUCUCGAUACCUAGUUCAAUAUCGUUACCGGCAAGUCUCUUUACUCGUUCCGUAACACAUCAUCCCGCAACUAACUCAUUACUCACAAUGCUUGCAAGGCUUAUAGUGAUGUGCAUUACCGAGUGGGCCCAGAGAUACCUCUCCGACAAUUGGAGUGACAAAUCCUAAUCUCGAAAUAUGCCAACCCAACAAGUACCUUUGGAGACACCUGUAGAGCACCUUUAUAAUCACCCAUUUACGUUGUGACGUUUGGUAUCACACAAAGUGUUCCUCCGGUAAACGGGAGUUGCAUAAUCUCAUAGUCAUAGGAACAUGUAUAAGUCAUGACGAAAGCAAUAGCAACAUACUAAACGAUCGAGUGCUAAGCUAACGGAAUAGGUCAACUCAAUCACGUCAUUCUCCUAAUGAGGUGAUCUCGUUAAUCAAAUGACAACUCAUGUCUAUGGCUAGGAAACAUAACCAUCUUUGAUUAACGAGCUAGUCAAGUAGAGGCAUACUAGUGACACUCUGUUUGUCGAUGUAUUCACACAUGUAUUAUGUUUCCGGUUAAUACAAUUCUAGCAUGAAUAAUAAACAUUUAUCAUGAUAUAAGGAAAUAUAUAAUACUUUAUUAUUGCCUCUAGGGCAUAUUUCCUUCAUGCUUUUGAAAAUAUAUAAAAAAAUGAUGUAUAUAGAAUGUAAUUCCAAUUGAAAAUGGAUCCCGUCCGAAAAAAAUAGAAUACAAACGGGAUUCGAAUUGAGUUGGCAUGGUAAACGUGCACUCUGCAAAAUUUGAACGAAGCAGGGAAAGUCGCAGUAACCGCCCGAAACCAAAAUCUACGAGAUGGAAAUCACUACUGCCUAUCCCUGCCACGCAAAGCCUAUCUGCUGGAUUUCUAUAGGUUUCGAUAGGGGUAGGCUUGUAAUUUCACCCAAACGUGACGUAACCGCCUCUCACCCGGAUUCAUACACGGUGGCUGCCAAAACACAGUGUGUCCUCGGCCGAAAUCGACUCCCUCCCCGAUUCAUAUUCAUACACGGUGGGCGACAAAAACAAACUCUCGUCGGAAAAUAUUCGGUGUAUGCGAGAUUACCGUCCUAUCCCCAACCGACUAAUGUUGCUGUGAUGUAGUAGAAAUUUGAAACGGGGGCUAAGUUUGUAAAUUUCCUCGCAUUUGAGACAAGCGCGCCCUGAAUACAUGGUUCCCCCCUUCCUCUCUACCUCCCUUUUCCCCAUUCGUACUCCGUGGGCGCCAAAACACCCUCUCCACCCCACCCUCCUCCGUCUGCCGCCGUCCGCCACCCCAUCCACCGCCGUCCUCCUCCACCAUGCCGGAGCUGAUACCCCGACGCCGCCGUCCAUUACAAGAGAUCGACCUCUCUCAUCCACGGCUUCGGACCGGUGUAACGACCAAACCUCGACGGAUUUGAGUCUCUGUGCUUACCGUGCUAGUCCCUGGAUCGAACUCGCUAGCACACACAGUAUAGAUGAAUACCAGAAUAGCAAGUGCAUCAUUUAUUACAACGUAUGAUCCAGAAUGUAUAAAAUAAAACAAUCUGCAUAGCACUUGGCUAGCUUUAUUCAAUCAAACAGCGGAAAGUAGCAGAAAAUAACGAUGAGUCCCAUCAUAGCCCACUGGCGAUGCUGAGUGCAGACUCGCGACCCUAACGGUACCUUACUCUUCGUCUGAAUAUCCUGCAACAUGAGACGUUGCAGCCAUAUAGGUCAAUACUUUGAAUGUAUUGGCAAGUUACACAAGAGUAAUAAUAUAGCAGACCUACAUGUAUAUGCAUAGUACAGCAAAGGAAGGCUUGGGGGUUUAUUUUGCAGAAAGCUGAUUUUGUCCUCAUAACUACCUAAUAGUCAAAUUUUUAUUUAGUUCUUUUAUUACUACAAUUAUAUACACAAGGUUUAGUUGGCAAAAUCAACUCCAACCUACCCUUUAUUAAGUUGCCCAACAAAUUUAAUAAGUGUCACAUCUGUCAAGAUCAUCCAACAACUGUAAUGGCAUAGUGGCUCAAAGUUGCCCAUAACCGGGGGCACGGCUAAUCAUGAUUAGUUUUAGUACUCUGCAGAGUUUAGUACGCUUUACCCACUAGACCCAAUCCGAAGAUUGAGAUGAAGUCUUUCAGAAGAGGUUCCCUUAACCACCUGACGGCCACAUCCCACCUAUAUAUGCUACAUCUAUCGACACUGUCUGGGCCAGGGUUCCAACAACUAAUCAACUAAGCCAGAGCCCAUAUAGCCAGUGGCCGCACAUGGAAGCUACUAGUCACUAAGUCUGUCUGAUCUUUUUGAACCUGGGCGGCAUUCCACUUAGGGUGCACUCUCAUAAGCGCAUGGCCUUAGAAAAGGUGCAAGACCCCAUGAUGCCUUCCCUCAACACCAAGCAAUACCACUUCCGCCCAGAGGUGAGUUAAAUCCUGAGUUACUACUCAACUUGUUAAAUAUAUAAUCCUCACAUAAGCUCAGUGAAUACUCGAACCAACCCCGUCUACAAAGCAUAGCAAAACUACAACUACCACGAUCUGCAAUGACGGGAGAUAGCUCAACAAUAUAGAAAAAAUAUAAUAAUCCUAUACAUGCAUAUAUUCAUAGUGUGAUAUAACUACAUGCAUAGAAAACAAUAGGUAAAGGAUGAUCAACAUGUAACUUGCCUUGGUUCUGGUUCAGAAAGUCACACUCCUGACAAUAGCUUGCGUCGCACUCCGGACAAUCUACAUGUUUCACACAAUUCAACAAAACCAACAGCAAGAAAACCAUUUUUAAAACUCAACAACAGAAGCUUAACAGCACCUAAAAUGCACGAUGGUCACAACGCAAAAAGAAUCACUCGAUUCCGAUAAACGGUUUGAGAGUUAUGGCCUCCGGAAGAUUUAAUACAAAUUCAAACGAAUUCAAAUUUGAACAGUGCAACCAUGUACGAAGUUGGUACUGUGAUAAUGUGCUGAUUUUUGUGAGAUCAUAGGAAAAAGAAUUACCUAAAUUGGACAUACGAAUUAGGAGUUAUAGCUAAUGGAAGUUUUAGUUGCAAGACUGAAAAGGACAAAAACCAAGAGAAAACUCCUGGCUGCUCAUGCGUUUACUGUAGCGGUGGCCACAUGUCGUCUCGUGAUUGGCCUAGGCCGUGCUGUGCGCGUGUGCUCACCAGAGAACAGGGGAACAGCGGCGGCAAUUCGGGCGUUGGUGGUGGCGCUCCUCCGGCGACUCUCCGGCGAUGGGGAAGUGACGGGAGGAUGCGGCGGUGAGUGGCGAAGGCGGUGGUGGUGCUCAACGGCGGCGGGGCGUCGUCGAACGGCGGUGGUGACGAAGUGAACUGCGGCGAGCUCUGGUGAGGUCGGUCGGCUUGUUCCUCUCCCUCUGCUGCGUCUCUGGCCACGAAAAUUUGUCAGAAACGUGCUUCGUGGAGCGGCGAAUCUGAGGGGACAAGAGAUGCGGCGGCACUGGCUCUUACGGCGGUGAAAACCUCCGGCGAACGGCGGCGGACGGCAGAGCUCCGGGACGAGAUCCAAUCGCCCCAACCAGCGCGUGCGGCAACAAAGAGGAUCGGGAUAGGAGCUGCGGGGUCUCCCCUAGGGGUUUUGCUCGCGUACGGCAGGUCGGGCGCGCUCGAGGUGGACCAGGGGCGCGGGGCGAACCGGCUCGGCCUCGGCGUGCUUGCGUGCGGUAUCCGGCUCGGUGGAGGGGACGAACAGGGCGCGGGACCCGCUGGUCAGCGGCUGGGCGAGCUGGCGGAUCGGGUGCGGGUCGGGCACGGCCGGCGCGGGAGACUGGGCCGCGGGCAGUGCGGGGUUAGGUGGGCCGCGGGGUUGGCUGCUGGGCCUCGCAGUGCUCUGCGCUGCGCGCUGUGCUGCGUUUUUUUUUCUUUUUUUUAAACACAGCAGUAGAAAACUAAAUAAAUAAAAUAAAAUACACAAUAUAGAUUCUAAAUAAAAAUACCUAGACACAUAGUAAAAAUAGCCCUACAGCUAUAAACUACAGGAACACUAGUUCCAAUACUAAUGCAAUUUUGUAAAAUAAUUUUGAUGCAAUAAGCCACUCAAACAGCAAUAAAACAAUCAAAUAAAAUAUUUUGGAGAUUAAGAAAAAUACCAGAACAUAUCAGAUGAACUGGAAAUAAUAUUCUGGACAUUAUGAACAUUUUUAAAACAGGGGAGAAGUCAUGUUAUCUCCACUCCAAUAAAUUGCCUUUGUUGCAUAAUGAUUCAAAUAUUUCAGAAAAAGCAAAUAAUGCAAUAAAAAUAUGAUAUGAAUAUGAAUGAUCUAAUAACAUCCUAAUUUAGGAAAGUUGGGAUGUUACAACCGGGAUCCUUGCAUCCCGUCCUCUCGCUUCAUCCCCGCCGUCGUCCACCUUGCCGGCGCCGCUCCUACGACCGUCUCGUCCACCGCGCCCCGCCGCCACCGUCUACCCUCCUAGAUCUGCUUCCACGCCGCCGACAGCCAUCGCUACCGCAGCACCGUCAAAUUCUCAGCAGAUGCGUACACGGCGCCGCACCAGAGGCGGUACUCUUUCGUAUCUGCUCAACUUAUUUAUCGCAGCAAGAAAAUAGAUCGCCACUGCUUUACUCUGAUUUCUUGUCUUGGUUGCAAAGUUGCCUUUGUCCGGUUUGCACCUUCAGAUCCGCCAUGGCACGCUCAACACUAUACUCCCAAUGCUUAUGGUUUUCCCCUUUUAUAUUCCACACUACUUAAAUCACAGUAGACUAAAUUUCAAAAUUGGGUCAGUCGAUUUUUCAAAGCUCGCCGGAGUUCGCCGGUGCGAUCGAAGGGGCUCGGGUGGUUGUGGGGCCUCGCCGAACGAAGAAAACUCGACGCGGGUGGGGGUUGGGGCGGGGGUGGGGGUGGCGGAGGAACACAGGCGGUGGGGGCCGGUGGUCCGGCCGGCGGCCCGUGCGGUGUUCUGUAUGGGAAGAAUCAGAGACGAGGAAGAAGAAGGGUUACGAGACGUAGGAUCUUCAUCCAACCGCCUGAAAUGGUCGAGAGACAGCUGGGAGUUGCAUUCUUAAUGCGCUCUGGUUCAUCAUGUGCGGGCACUGCGCAACCAACAUUUUAUUAUCCAAAAUCUGCUUGCUCUUCUUUACCAUGUUCCUCUUCCGUUCUUCUUUAAUAUGUACUCUCUCCGUUCCUAAAUACAAGUCUUUGUAUAGAUUCCACCAUGGACUACAUAUGGAGCAAAAUGAGUGAAUCUACACUCUAAAAUGUAUCUGGAUACAUCUGUAUGUGAUCCAUAGUGGAAAUCUCUACCAAGACUUAUAUUUUGGAACAGAGGGAGUAUGAUAGUAGUAUAGUAUGUUCCUUGUACUGAAGAUGAGCAGGGACAUUUGCAGUGUAGAGGUCUAUACGGUUGGUUGUGAUGGACACUUUGAGCCUCUUUGAUUCGUAGGAUCUUGUAAACAUAGGAAUAGGAUUUGUAGUGGCCUGCUCACUUGAAUCCUAUAAGAAUAGCAAGGAAAUGCGGGGAGCUGUGUCGCCUUUGAGAGUUACACUGAUAUUAACAGUACCGCACCUUCACUUGAAGAGAGCUGGUAUCCGAAGCCUUUCUAGCCGUACCGGCAAUACUAGCACAUAUAUUCCAGCAAGUUCCACUUUGCUGAUUUUACUCUAAUGCUUAAGGUUUUCCCGUUAUAUCUACACUAUGAUUUGUGUAGCUGCUUUGUGUCGCACUAGCAGCAGUCCACUCUUGAAGCUAAACACUGCACUGACUUACAAAAUUGGCACCAAGGCAUUGAGUGCCAUUCUGGAUGCAAUGAAACUCAUACGCUCCCCACCUGUUGAUUCUUGUUCAGAAUAUGAUCCUAAUGACUAUUCUAACCUCGAGGAGUCAAAGGCAGAUGGCUUGUCCUGUUCACCCAUCAAGGUGUCUGUUCUAAUUUGGCAAUGUUUUAUUGAUUGCUGGUAUCUUGCAUAUGUUGUCUUGCAUUUCUUCUACUUUGUUGCACCGCCAUCUGCUUAGUUUACUCAUCAUAUAUGUCGAGAUGCCAUGCCCAUCCAUUAUCAAUACAUAUUCCAUCUGUCAUCAUACCAUGUUUUUUCACUCAAAUGUCGUUCUUGUGCAUCAGACAUCAAAAAGGAAGAGGGUGAUUGCCGAACCUGAAGGAGCACCAGCAAAUUCCUUAAAAACGUGGUGGUGCCGGAGAAAUCAGACAGCACCCCACUUAUAUUGGUUGUACAACCAGUGACACAAAACGUAGGACCGACUCCAGCAGACUGUACCCAUACUUCACUGGCCACACCACUAGCCCCACCACACAGGACCUGCACUCCAGCAAAAGGUAUACCGAUUUCAUUUGCCAUAGCACCAGCUGUACCACAGAAAAAUCCCACUCCAGCAAAAAGUAUAGCAAGUCCACCGGCCGAAGACCUAUCCCAACUGCAGAGACGGCCAAUUCCUGCAGAUUGGAACCCCAUUCCAUUUAUUCCCAGUUUAAAAGACAAUGCUUUCAAUGUUGUUAGGGACUACGUGCAUAUAUUCCCAUCAUGGGAAGAUUAUUGUGAAGACAAACAUCAUUUUCACAUCUUCCUGUCCAACUUACGUGUAAGUGCUAUUAUUCAUGGUUAUUAUUUUCUUGUUUUCUGCUGAUUGAACACAUCAAUGAUUUACAUUACAUUGUUGUAACUAGGCGAGGGUCAAUCUGGAUAGUCAUGACGAGCAAAGCUUGCUUGUGCUUUUCAAGGAAGCAUUGUAGCAGUAUCGGUGUUACCUGAGGAAAUCACACUUUGAUGGCAAGUCUAUAAACGAAUUUUCGGUGAAGUCUCCUGUGCUAAAUUUAGAAGACAUUGAAUGAAAAAAUCUUGUUAUGCACUGGUCUCAUUCCUAGGAUAAGGUACUGUCUAUGAAAUCACAUGACAAUUUGAACUUCUACUUUUCCGCAUGUGCCUUAGGGAUCUUUUUUGCAGGAAAUCUGCUCGAAGAAGAAUUCCGGUUUGACAAGAACGACAGGAUAUCGCAAAUAUGCUGCCCGCUGCUUUGCUCUUGUUAGUACCUGUUGUCCUGUAUCACUGUACUUGCAUACAUACCUGGUUCAUUAUGUGACAGCAGUAUGCAUGAUAGCUUGCUUAUCAAUUGUUCGCUCCAAAUUAUCUGAUCUGUAUGAAUGGUUACAUUAGUGUAGAAUAUAUCCAAUGCCAAUGUUUUUUUAGCUCCGCAUUGUUCUUGUAAGUACAUGCUGUCCUUUAUCAGUGUACUUAUAAUGACAGGUAGUUGUUCAUGUACCAUCACUCUGCAGCUUAUUUUCAUUUGCCCUCCAUUUUCUACACAUCGGAUCUAUAUUUACUCUUACCAUAAGGUUGGUACUGAAGAAGUUUAGCUGUGCAUUGCUCUUGGCUGUACCUUUUGCCUGUAUCGCUGCACUUACAUUUAUAGCUACUUGGUUAUGUAGCAUCACUCUUCAUCUUAUCUUAAAUAUUCUCCAUUUUUUCGUAUAUUAUCACAUCUAUAUUUACUCUUAACAAAAUGUAGAAUAAAGGCAAUGCUUUUGAAGAAGAUUCUGUGGUAAACUUCUUGAAUUGCCCCCCCCCAUCAGCAUGGACAAGGCCUUUAUAGAGCCUGUCUUCACCAAUAAUGUAAGUUUGUCCAUCUCAAGCCUUCAAACUUUGUUGUAUAUAUUUGGUUAGGCAUGACUGCAACGGCUGUUUAUUUUUGGUGUUUGCAUCAAAUUGCUUGUUUAAAGUUUAUUAUGUAGUUCAUAAACAAAAGUUUGUCCUUUCUCAAUUUAAGUUUUUAGUUGUACAACCAAGUUCCUUCUUCAUACCAUGUAAAUUAAACUAUACAAAGCAAGUGAUCUUCUUUUGCACUGCAUGUAUGCUUCUGUUCUUCAUCUGUAAUCCAGUGGUGUGGUGAACCUACCCACUACAGCACAAUGUCAUAUUCUGCAAUGUCUUAACUAUGAACAAUGUCAUAUCAUUCUACUAUUAUUUAAACCGUCUCUUUAUUUGCCAAUCUGAAAUGGUAUAAAUUGACAGCACACUAACCAUUGAUACUUAUGAGUUCUUGAUCUGUAAUCCAGUGGUGUCGUGAAGCUGCCAACUCCUUCACAAUGUCAUUUCCUGCCAUGUCUUGACCUGAACAAUACCAUAUUGUGUUAAUGCAAUUUUAAACUGUGUCACUUUAUUCGUCAGUAAGAAAUGUGAUGAAUUGUCAGCACUGAUACUUUUAUGUGCAAAACAUGUCAUCUGUCUGCUUGUUCAUCUUUCAGAGUGAGGAAGAUAUAAGUGUUGAACAAGCGCAGUCUCAUCAUCUUGCUCAGCUGCUUGCGCUGCAGCUCCCCAGCAGGGCUAACCUUUCUUGAACUCUAUUGAAGUGUUGUCGGUUUUGUAUAUUAUUUUGUCGGCGUGUUUAUUUGCACUGGUGGCGAUCUUUGAUGCCCAGUGUAUGUAAUCUGUUGUCUGCUUGUGCUUUAUUAUCAUAGUGGCGAACUUUGAUGCCCAGUGGAUGUAAUAUGCCGUAAUUUCUUUAUUGUAUAGUCUAGGUUUUUUCUUAUUCACGAUGCUGCAGUUAUUUUACUGUAUAUAUAUCAUGUCUUCGCAGUAAACCGGCCAAACCGUAAAAUUACGAUACAUAAUCGGGCCGUCAUGGAAUCACGAUGUAGGUUGGGCCUGAAACGUGCCGAACAGCUCACGGGCCGGCAGCAGCCCGAAAUGAACCCCGGCCCAUGAUUGUGCGAAUCAAAUCAUGGGCAUUUAACAGGCCAAAAUUGUCUCGGUCCUUAUUUGGCCCAGUCAGAUAUCGGCUGCGAGCAGGCCGGAUGCAAAACGGGCCGUAGUUAGGCCCAACUAUAUGACGGGCUUUUAACAGGCCGAAAUUAAUAUAGGGCCGAAAUGUUAAACGGGCCCUUAACAGGCCAAAAUUAAUAGCAGGCGGAAUUACUAAGUGGGCCCAAAAGCAUAGUGUCCAGUUGACUGGCCGAAUCUGAUAUGGGCCAUAAUUGAGCCCAAAGCCUCUUAAAGGGCCGGACCUGAUCUGGGCCGUAAUUUGGCCCAGAACGUGGUAGGCUUUUAACGGGCCGAAUCUCAUAUGGGCCACUAUUAGGCCCGGAGCGUGGCAGGCCAUUAAUGGACCGGAUCAAAUAUGGGCCGGCAUUUGGCCCAAAACAUGGCAGCCAGUUAAUGGGCCGGCCUACUAGGGUCCUCAAAAUCUCGUGGGCCUACAGCUGGGCCGGCCCAUUAAUGUCGGCGAAAUCUCGUGGGCCUUUAGCUGGGCCGACCCAUUAUGAUUUGCAAGAAUCUUGUGGGUCUUUACCUGGGCCGGCCCAUUAUGGCACACAAAAAUCUUGUGGGCCUUAACCUGGGCCGGCCCAUUAUGGCCCGCAAAAUCUUGUGGGCCUUUAGCUGGGCCAGCCCAUUAUGGUCCGCAAAAUCUCGUGGGCCUUUAGCUGGGUCAGCCCAUUAUGGUCCGCAAAAUCUUGUGGGCCUUCAGUUGGGCCGGCCCAUUUAAACUUGAUGGGCCGGUCCACGUGUCAACAUAUCAUAGGCGCGUCUCGCCCAUUGGAUGAGUGACACCUGUGCCAACGCGGACCUGACACGUGUCUCCUCCAGCCAAUGAUGAUUUUACACGUGGAAAAUCCCCAUUGGUCGGAGCUGUUAACGGAUUAUCGGAUCCAAAACCCGACCCGAUAACUUAACGGCGUUCCGUUACGGUGGAUGCCACGUGUCAGUCACCCUUGACGAAAGCACUUCUGUGACGCACGAUUUAUCGUCAUGGAAGUGGACACUUCUGUGAUUAUAAUUUUGGUAAUGUCAUGGAACACUUCUACGACAGCACAGGUAUGACUAUCUUGAUUCUGUCAUAAAUUUGUCAUGGAUGUACAUGUAUGACAAAAAACGCGACCUAAUGUGACAAACAUGUAUCAUCACGGAAGUGUCUUUUUUUUUAGUGGUUUUAUGUAUAAUAAUGCUUUUUGGAGUAUUUCUAAUGUCUUUUCUCUCAUAAUAUGCAAGGUUUACACAAAGAGGGAGAACGCCGGCAGCUGGAAUUCUGGACCUGAAAAAGCUACGUCAGAGUUACCUAUUCUGCACAUCUCCAAAUAAGCUGAAACUUCACGAAGAUUUUUAUGGAAUAUUUAAGAAUUAUUGGAGCAAAUAACUACCAGAGGGGGCCAACAGGUGGGGACAACCCACCUAGGCACGCCAGGGCCCCCAGGCGCACCCAGAUUUUGGGCUUUAAUCCCGACCCUUUAGUCCCGGUUCCUGAACCUAGACUAAAGGGCCUCUGGAAUCAGGACAAAUGGGCCGUUUUCUACUAGUGGGUCCAGUCUCGUGACCAUUUGUCAGCCUUUAGUCCUCCUUGAAUUUAUCCAUUUUUUGGUUGCUGCAAGAAAGAAAAUUGAAUUCACAACAGCUUGCACGAAAGAAAAUUGCAACACCACUUCGACGGGCUACGGAAGAUGGCACGAGGCCAACUAAUGCGUGGAGUGCCACACAAUGAGCGCCAAUGAGUUGUGAGAUGCAUGUCUUGCUGGGAAGAAGCAUCAUGUAUCCUUUCCCAAGAAGGCCAGGAACCAAGCGAAGAAGCCCCUCGAACUAGACCACUCGGACCUCUAUGGACCAAUCACCCCAGCAACGCCAGGUGGGCGUCGCUACACCGUGAUGCUCGUCGACAACUACAACAGGUUCAUGUGGGCGGUGUUCCUCGCCUCUAAGAACGAGGUGGACGAAGCAAUCGUCAAGCACCAAGCCAUAGUGGAAGUGGAGUGCUGCCACAAGCUGUGCGUGUUGCUCGCUGGCCGUGGCGGCGAGUUCACGUCGGCCACCUUCUACAAGCAUUGUGAUGAGAAAGGGGUGCAGCGUCACCUCGCGGCCCCAUACUCGCCACAAUGGAACGACGUCAUCAAUCGGAGGAACCAAUUAGUGCUUGGAAUGGUACGCUGCAUGCUCAAGACGAAGCAGGCCCGGGCAUGUAUUGCGGGAGGCCCGAUCAAGGAAAACAAUUAGUACAAUUGAAAGACAAAAAAUGGGCGCAGGACAACCAGUAAAAAUUUACAUUGAUAAUCAAACGAGCGUUGUUCUUCCUUCGAAUGUAUGCCACCUCCCGAAGAUUGAAAUUGCACAGAACCAGCAAUAAAGGAAAGCAACAAAUGCAAACACCCUCGCCAUAUCAAGCUUUCAAGACCAUAAUAGUCACUCGCCGCCUAAGUCGAGAUGUAGAAGUCACUGAAUGAACAUUGGUUGGAGCAUCACCUCACGCAGUAAAUGCUUAUAAUCCAUCACCGCUGCAAAAAGAGAGUUAGAGAAACCGGACCAUGUCGCAGCACAAUAUGGAAGAAAAUGUCAAAGUUGUUGGACCAAUAACCAGCCAAUUGCACUCCUUGAUAGACACACCAACUACCAAGAUCCCAAAAGAGCCUACAUAAUUGGGGAGACAAACUCUCACAGACCCUUCAUCGGUGUUGGGUCGGACGUCGUCAAGAUAAGGAAAAGAAAAAUGAAAUGGACGGGUCCUCACUCCUUUUGCUGCUGACGAGGCCACUUAAUGUGGAGAGGAGGAAGACCAAGGCGGCGGUAGGUUUUAUCUUCUCCCAAUGCCAAUGUUUUGAUUGAUCCUACAAACAUUUAAAUGAAGUUUAUUUAAAAAUUUGGUCGAAUCCCAAGCCGUAUGAACUCGCGACGCCCCUUCGUGGACUCUUUGGUUGGUAGCGACUCUACGUUGUGGUUUGGUUAAUGGAAUGAGGAGAUGUCCAAUUCAAAAAAAAUCCACCUUUGCUAGUUUCCAUCUUCCUUUUUUAUGUGGAGUGAGAUUAAGAUGAUGAUCGAUCAUUCGAUGUUAAUUCAAAGGCUUAGAAAAAUGGCCCGAAUUUUAAAAAGGGUGCCACGUUAGUGUGACGCUACUCUAGCCUUACGACGCAACUCGUGUGGCUCUUCAUNNNNNNNNNNNNNNNNNNNNNNNNNNNNNNNNNNNNNNNNNNNNNNNNNNNNNNNNNNNNNNNNNNNNNNNNNNNNNNNNNNNNNNNNNNNNNNNNNNNNNNNNNNNNNNNNNNNNNNNNNNNNNNNNNNNNNNNNNNNNNNNNNNNNNNNNNNNNNNNNNNNNNNNNNNNNNNNNNNNNNNNNNNNNNNNNNNNNNNNNNNNNNNNNNNNNNNNNNNNNNNNNNNNNNNNNNNNNNNNNNNNNNNNNNNNNNNNNNNNNNNNNNNNNNNNNNNNNNNNNNNNNUCGGUUCCCCCCAAAGUCGUGCCCCCUAUAAGACCUUGUAAUGUUGUCAAGACACUUAAUCAUCUAGCACAUGUGUGAUCUCGGCGUCGUAGCUAGUCGCUGCUAUCGACCUAGCCCUCAUCGCCUCGUUGGUCAUCCUCUUCCUUCGACGCCCCCUCAUCUCCUCCUAGCAUGCACCGGAUGUCGCGCUAAGCGAAGACGACGACACACGUCCUUUACGAAAAAUCAGAUUGUCUGGUUAUAUAGAUGAUAUAUUUUUGAUGUGUGAUUAAUAAACCUAGGCAUGAUGAUCUUUCUUUUUAAAAUCAGAUAUUUUUUAGGGGUAAUGAUAAUUAGAUUUUUUUAGACAAGGUAAUGAUAAUUGUUUUUGAGCGAAAGGUAAUGAUAAUUAGAUGCCAGCACACAUCAACGCUGGGCUGGGCUUGAUGCAGUACUUGCCUUUUUUUAAGUUCUAUAUGGAGUACUUGCUCAGAGUAGUCAGUACUGCCGGUUUGCAAUGCAUCAGUCCCCACCUGUUACCAUAAUUCUAGGGUUUCCGCGUCACUGCCGUCGGAGCAAGGUGAGAUCCGGGCGUCGAUGGAGGCGAGCUCAGUGCCUCGCCAGAGUUCCACCCAGGAGCCGGAUGGCCCAUGCGACGGAGCGGACCGCAUCAGCGCCCUCCCCGACGACCUGCUCCUCGACGUCCUCGCCCGCCUCCCCUGCGCCGGCGCCGCCGCCCGGACCGGCGUCCUCUCCCGCCGGUGGAGCGGCCUCUGGGCCCGCCUCCGCCAGAUCGUCUUCCGCGACGUGCCCUUUCCCUCGCUGGAGGCGGCGCUCGUCCGCAUCCCUACUCCCCCGCCAGCGGUUUCCCUCAUCGAGAUCCGCGUUCCCCCGAAGCAGCGGCGCAGGGGAGAAUCCGCGUUCCCCAAACCCAACCAGAACCAGGACAGGGCGGGCAGCGCCGUCGUCAAGUCGCUGCUCCGCGCCGUCGCGCGGCUCGCGCCGGAGAAGCUCGUCUUCCGCCUUCCCUCCUACUUAAUCGGCCGUCACCGCCUCCCCAUCGACCUGCCUCGCUUUGACGGCGCCACCUCCAUCGCGCUGGACUUUCCCUCCCCCUUCUCCCUACGCGUGCCGGCCGGUGCCAAUUUCCCCGCACUGGAGGCGCUGUCCCUGACGUACUGCAUUACCGACCUAGACGCCUGGCUCUCCUGCUGCCCGCGCUUGCGCAAGCUCCGCCUCUGCAGGGCUUUGUUUCCUAACCAUAAGUGCGACAUUAGGGUCAACUCCCCGUCGCUGCAGGAGCUUGUUGUGUACCGCGAGCUCAGCUUGACACAGCAUGUCGACGUCGUUGCGCCAGCGCUCAAGGAAUUGACCCUGUCAUUUAGCACAAAGAAGCUGAUCAGCAUCUCUGUCUUGGCUCCAUUGGUGGAAAAGGUUUCGUGGCACUGCUGCUACUCGGGGUCGUAUAUUGUGUUUGGUCUUUGGGGCAUCAACAAGCUGCAGCUACAGACGGCAGAGAGACAAGGACAGCUAUCCUCGCUGCAAAUUCAUGCCUACGCGGUGCGUCCCCGCUACUGCUCAAUCUGCUGCAAGCUCUGAGUAAAUUGAUUUUGUUGAUGAUAUAUACCGUUGCAAAUUGUUUUCUCAGGACACGUCUUUUUUGCACGCCGAGGCGGGCAACUUCGCGCAGGAGAUAGAGAAGCAUAUGGUUGCGGCCUUCUCUGUUUUAGAGCUGCAUCUCACAGCAAAGGGGCAUGCUUUUGCAGGGUUUGUGUUUCAUCUCCUUGGGAUGGAUCGGGUUGGUUGUGGUACACAGAGUCUUAAGGUCAUCCUACGGAAAUCAGCGGUAUUUCUCUCCUCUGAUUAUAUACCCGAACUGAUUAUAUACCCCAAUAAUGCAUUGUGUGGUUAUUCAAUAUUUUUGGUUUUAGAUGAAAGGAGGAUGCUCACCACUUUGUCCUUGUGAGUUUCCGAACUGGAAACCCCAAAUUAUCUGCUUGGCUGCUCUCGAAGAAGUGGAGUUCAAUGGCUUCGAAGGAGAGGAUCAUGAGUUUGAUUUACUGAAACUGAUACUCGGAUGUGCACCGAUGCUAAAAAGAAUGAUUGUGAAGCUGUCACAGGAGACCUCGGCAAGUAAUGAUGGAUGCACAAAGAUAUACAACAUCUUCGAGGCAUGUUCUUCCGUGGAAUGUGAUGUUUAUGGCAACUCUGGUAAGUAUAUGUUUGGCAUGCAUUAUUAGCAUCCUCCUAGAUAAAACAGAGAUAUAACUGUUAAUCAUUGUGUAAGAUUCGUCGAAAAUGUGGCGUUGACAUGCCACUUUUAGAGUUUUGUUGUGCAUGUCCGAUUUAUUAGCUAAUUAAACUUUAAUAUUUUUGUAGAAACUGAAUGGUGGUUUGGCUGAUAAGGACAAUUCAAUAUUUUUACACAGGCUUCCUUACCUAAAUUGCUCUUUUGCAUUUCACAAUCUUCUCCAUUGACCUUGCCCUACUGUUUUGUGUUUCUAUUAGAUUUUCUUGGUUAGCUGAAGUUGUCCCGUCUGAAUUCAUUGGCCUUGGGGUUUGGUACAAAGUCUCUUCAGCAAGUACUUUGCUAUUUAUUUCUGCUGUGUCAGCAUUUAUUCCGUAUUUUUUGCCAAUAACAACAUUAUAUGUUUUGCAACCGCAAAAUAUGUAUAUAUAUAAUUUUGCAUUGGUGACAUCAGAAUGCGCACCUGAAGUUAGUUGUCUCAUCUGAAUUUUGCAUUGACCUUUUGGUUUCUUUCUGCUCUCAACAUAUUGUGUUAUAUUGCAUCUAUACCAAAAUAUAAGACGCUUUUGCAGUUCAAAAAAUGUCUUAUAUUUUGCUACAGAGGAGUAUUUGACUACAUUCCUAUACAUAUAACUCCUCCGCAGCUUGUUGCGGUACUGAUCGGAACUUGUUUCAAUUUGUCUCCUCCGCAGGGUUAAUGCUUGGUUGCUUCAAUUGAUCAUCUUGCAUGCUCUUUUGCCAAGAUUGUCCCUCGACAUGAUUCUCAUCCUUAGGUCUGUGGAUUCGUGGUGUGCAUUGGCAGGAUCAUCCUUAGUUCAGGGGAUUCGUGGUGCGCAUUGACAAAGUCUCAGGACUUUGCUUGGUUGCUUCAACUGAUCAUCUCGUGUUCAUUUGCCCGUGUAUUGUACUAGCUAUAUACAAGGAGCUCAGUUAUAUCUUGUGUGGUUUCUAUGAUGUUUGACUAUUGAAUUAAUGCACUC